rnacentral:lncRNA from 1 species
CGCCAACCAAGAUUCGAAUUCCGGCUCUCGACAGUAUUAUUGCCGGUCAUCGUCGAGGCACCAACACUGGUAGUCGGGCUUGGACAUCCCGAGGAGCUCCUCCGGCGACAUGCGCUCCAGCUCUCGCUGCCUCCACGCCGGGAAGGCCUUGGCCGUGGACUCAUCAUCGUGACCGUCCUUGGGCCGGCCGUGCAGGUGCAGGUGCCUCAUGGCGCGCAUCCUCUUGUAGAGCCUCAUGGCGGCCACGCAGUCGUCGUAGGGGUGAUGGUGGCCGCCGGUCUGUAUGUCAUACCCCAGGCAGCUCCGUGUGAGAUACCGCAGCGAGUUGCUCAUGAUCCUGGCGCUGGUCUUCAUCAGCGGCGGGUACGUGGCCGUGUCCCGCUUGAAGUGCGCCGGGCAGUCCAUGCCGAGCGCGUCGAGGUCGUGCUCCAGCCCGUGGCCGACGAGGAGCCGGGCGGCGCCGCGGGAGGAGGAGGAGUAGGAGUAGGACCGGUCGCCGUUGAGGAGGAUGUCCUGCACCCGCGCCAUGGUCUGCUUCACCGUGGGCGCGUCGCGGAGGUGCUCGGGGCGGAUGCCGGUGGUCUCGUACCGGUAGUGCGUCACCGGGAUGAGGGGCUUCACGAAGCUCUCGUAGAGGACGGCCUCGUGCUCGUCGACGACGCAGACGCGCGCGCACACGUCCAGCGUGCCGUCGCUCCCGCCGCCCACCAUCUUGCACCCCAGCGCCACCGCGCCUCCGCGGCCGCCUCGCACGCCCCCCACCCUCGACAUGCUUCGGGUCAGGCUCUGCACCGAAGAAGGGUGGGGGGCGCCGGUGAGCUUGCAUGCGGCGUAGUGGGCGCGGAGGGCGGCGGAGGUCGGGAAGACGGCGAGGCAGAGCGGGCAGCCGCGGGCGGCGAAGGCGGUGGCGCAGGCGGGCUUGGAUGGCAGCGAGGCGCCGAAGCCGAGGUGGUCGCGGAGCGCGUCGAGGGAGCGGCAGUGCUUGCCGCAGACGCCGCAGCGGGGCUCGUGGCGGGAGUGGUGCGACGAUCGCAUGUGCUCCACCAGGUGCUCCAUCCGGUUGAACUGACGGUAGCACGCCGCGCACCGGUGACAGCUGCACACCCAACAACUCCUCGUCAGCAAGAAGAAAACGUAUAUAUGGUGUGCAAUGUGGCAUGCACACGUAGUCACGUACAAAGAGAAAACAAUGAAGAUGGAGCAGUGGGCACCAUACCUGUGAGCAUCUGAAGAGUUGUCCAUGGUCGGCAAGUGACCAGUGAGAGCAAGUGCAGAGACGCGGCAAACAGUAGACGGUUGUGCUUUUGGUUGGUUGGUUGGGCUGUAAAGAAACGGACGGCUAUUUAAGUAGCUGCAAAACGGAUGGCAUUCGAUUCCUGAUAGCGUCGCCAGCGGCUACGGGCCCAGCUAAGCUAGUAAAUUCCUUCACUGCUCAGGAUACUCGCAUAUUCAUGGUUCAGGUCUUGAGGAUACCAGCUACUACUACUAGCUAUAGCACGCUCAGAGAGAGAAGAAAGAACAUAUAUUAGACACCAGAAUGGCCUCAACAUGCUCUCUAUUUGCAGAAGAAAAAAAAAAGAGAUGAUGAGAUAGAUGCCGUGGUCAAAAUAUCCGGUUUGAAAAAGCAAGACCCGGCAGAUGGAUGCUGCGGACGGAAAGAUUGGGUUGGGAUUCCGGCCGGAGAUCGACCGACGUGCCCACGCGGCGCAGGUAGGUAUAGCCGCUGCGGCGUCGGGCGGACGACGAUCAUCAUCCGUCUUUCGGCGGUGGCGGAGAGCCGCGCAGAGCGCCAAGGGUGACGGGUUCUGCAUGGAUAUCCUAUGAACGUACCCUCUCCAGCCAGAUGAGCUUUUGAUUUGAUUUGCUUUCGGGGGUCCUAAUUCUGGUUAAUUUGACUGAGAAUCCAUGUUGAAUAGAUUCCGAAACGUUUCUGGGUGAGCACAACAACGGCAUAUUGGAUGGAUCAAAUCAAAGGAGCUAAGUUUGGCAUACUUGGUGCCUGUCUGGUUAUUGGUUCAAAAUAAUUUUUUGACUGGAGACAAUCUGAGCAAGGUUUAUUUUUUGCUCGGUUUAUAUACACCACGUACAUGUUUAUAUACACCUGACCAGUCCAUCUAACUUCCCGACCUGGCCUAGCAAGGUUUAUUUAUUGCUCAGUUUAUAUAUCCCCCCCCCUACCCCCCCCCCCCCCCAACAGGCCCUCCAGAACGACUUUUUUAACUUUGGCGGUACGAAAUCGAAACAGUCGCGUCCCAGAUCCUCGUUUAUCGCCUGUUUGGGUCAAAACAAUAGCCGGCGAACCCGAGCCGAACCCAGCUUCCUCGGGGGCGCCUGGGAGCAUGGGCGAAGCGAAAAGCCAACUGGACCCGCUAUGUCGGCCACAGCCGGGUCUUUCCUGCCGUUUUCUGCCCCUUCCUCCUCCAUUUCCCUCCAUUUCCCCGUCCCCUCCCGCCAUUCUUCUCCCACUCCCACCAUCCGGUCGCCAUGUCGUCGAAGAAGUACACCUUCCCACGCCCUGCCUCUGCCGCCGAUUCCAUCCAGCCGAAGCAGAGGAAGCCGAUGCCCAGGCCGGCGGGCGUCCCCGAUGUCGAGUGGAGGGCGGACGUCCAGCGCCGGGAGGCAGUCAGAACAGACCGACGGAGUAGGCUCGACGCCAAGAAGAUCAAGUACGCGGAGGUGGCGGCGGAAGCGGCCGAUCAGGAAGAGGUGUCUUGCCCGGGGAUGAUGAACCCGCCCGGCCGCAACUCGCAAGCCACAUGGAGGCGGCUCCAAGGCGUUGCGCUGGCCACUCACUCGUCGACGAUGUCUCCCUAGGGGUACGCGCACUCGCAUGGCUACUCCAACGGCGAUGCGCAUGGCAGCUUCAAUCCCAACACCACCUUCCCGCAUGGCGCGCCGCAGCGUUCCUCCCCCCAUCGGUUUCGGCCACGACCCGCGUAUUCCCUCACCCGCGUUCAGUACCGGCCUCAACACACAGUACAGCUACUCGACGCCAGCGUACUCGUCAGCAACCUCGCCUCGACAUGGACGAGAUCAUCACGAGCGGCUCCGUCGCUGUCGCGUCGCACCCGGAGUUCGGCGCGCAAGAUGAAACAAUGGAGACCAUCGGCAACAUCGACGACCAGCUCGACGACGACGAUGAGGGGGAGGGGGAGGACGAAGCGGUGGAGGCGGAACCGGAACCAUUGUCGAAGAAGGGAAGAAAGAGAAAGCGGGCGGCGAACGCCAAGCCGGCCGAACCUCGCGUCAAGUGGACGUCCAAGGAAGACGAAUGCCUUGCCGAAGCAUGGAAGACUGUGAGCAUCAACCCGACCACUGACACGAAUCAGAACAUCGCACUUACUGGGGGAGAAUCAAGAUGGCGUUCGACGAACGCAAGCUGGUCGACCCCGACUUCGCCAACAUCCACAUGGAUCGCGGCGAGAAGGCCAUGUCGAACCGCCGGUCGACGAUCCAGACAGCAUGCAACAAGUGGCAUGGGAUCGUCGAGGAGGUCGAUGCUCUCCCGUAAAGCGGCGCCAUUGUGGAGGGCAGGUAUGGACAAAGUUCACCGGACCUAGUUCGCCGCGUCGCCGUGUACUUUGCCGAUAUGUUUUGUCCGCGGUUUGUGUAGAUGGUUCGGAUGUUUGCCAUGUAUCGUGCCGACAACGAGGACCAAGAGUUCAGGUUCCUUCAUGUGUUCUUCAGGAUAGAGUUGUGCGAGAAGUGGAGGGAAGUUUGGCUCGCUCUCGACAAGGCGAAGGAGACCUACAACCCAGACGCGCCUACCCCGGCUCCGGCAGAAGGGCACCCAGAUGGCACAAAAAAAGUCAGGGCGUCGAGGGAUGAUGACCCACAAGUAUAGGGGAUCAAUCUUAGUCCUUUCGAUAAGUAAGAGUGUCGAACCCAACGAGGAGCAGAAGGCUCUGAUAAACGGAUUUCAGCAAGGUAAUAACUGCAAGCACUGAAAGUAGCGGUAACAAGUGAUUGUGUAGCGAGGUGAAAUGUAGCAAGCAAAAAGUAACAAGUAACAAGUAGUAGCAACGGUGCAGCAAGUGGCCCAAUCCCUUUUGUAGCAAGGGACAAGCCUGAACAAAGUCUUAUAGGAGUAAAAACGCUCCCGAGGACACACGGGAAUUUCUGUCAUGCUAGUUUCUGCAGGCGAAGUAUCCCCAAGCAAUUCAACAGGCAGAUUAUUCUUAAGAAUAGGAUAUUGUUCUAAGAUAAUUUUAUCUAUCUCAUCUCUCUCCUCCAUAUGCAUAUAAUUUUCAUGCUCAAGAAGAUAUUGCUCUAAAGGAUCCGUAGGAGGUACGGCAAUAGAGGCAAGAGCAAUAAUUUCAUCUCUACCAGACGACUCUCUUUCAUGGGGUUGUCUUCCAAACUUGGAGAAGUUAAAUUCAUGAGACACACCCUUGAAACUAACUAUGACGGUCUGCUUAAUGCAAUCAAUGUGAGCAUUGACAGUGUUGAGAAAGGGUCUACCAAAUAUGAUGGGACAAAAGCUAUCUUGUGCAGUACCAAGCACGAGGAAAUCAGUAGGAUACUUCGUCUUACCACACAAGACAUCUAUGUCUCUCACAAUUCCCAGAGGGCAGAUAGUGUCUCUAUUAGCUAGCGUGAUAGUGACAUCAAUGGGUUCUAACUCAGCAGGUGCAAUCUCAUCUUGGAUUUCAUCAUAUAGAGAACGGGGUAUUGCACUAACACUAGCACCCCUAUCACAUAAACCAUGGUAACAGUGAUCUCCUAUCUUGACAGAAACAACGGGCAGGCCAACUACAGGUCCGUCUUUGUCUUUCGCGUGAGGUUUAGCAAUUCUAGCGGAGUCCUCACAGAAUUUGAUAACGUGCCCAUCUAUGUCAUCGGCUAAGAGAUCUUUGAUAAUAGCAACACUAGGUUCAACUCUAAUCUCCUCAGGGGGUGCAAGUGGUCUAAUGUAACCCCUACGUAUCAAAGUUGGAGCCUUAGAAUAAUCCUUUAUCCUAGCAGGGUAUGAUGGUUUCUAAGUGUAAGCACAAGGAACAACAGGAUCACUAAAAGCAAUGACUUUCUCCUCAACUAGAUUGGUUUUGGCUAUGUUGCUUUCUACAGGAGGAUGAUAUUUAAACCACUUCUCUUUGGGAAGAUCAACAUGAGCAGCAAAAGAUUCACAUAGAGAAGCUACUAUCUAAGAGUCAAGUCCAUACUUAGCGCUAAAAUCUCUAGAAGUGUUUGUCUCAACAAAAGAUUUAACGCAAUCAAACUGGAAAUUCAUACCUGACUCCUUACCUUCCUCCAGCUCCCAAUCUUCAGAGUUGCGUUUGAUUCUCUCCAAUAAAUUCCACUUGUGAUCAAUAUCCUUCUUCAUAAAAGAACCGGUACAAGAAGUGUCAAGCAUGGUACGAUCUUCAUGAGAAAGCCGAGCAUAAAAGUUUUGAGUGAUGAUUUCUCUCGAGAGCUCAUGAUUGGGGCAUGAAUAUAGCAUUGAUUUAAGCCUCCCCCAAGCUUGAGCUAUGCUUUCCAUGUCACAAGGCCAAAAGUUAUAAAUAAAGUUCCGAUCACGAUGUACUAAAUGCAUAGGAUAGAACUUUUGAUGAAAUUCCAAUUUCAACCGAUUGUAGCCCCAUGAUCCAGUAUCAUCACAUAGCCUAUACCAUGUCAACGCCUUAUCCUUCAAAGAUAAAGGAAACACUUUUUUCUUUACCUCAUCCUCGGGCAAACCUGCAAGCUUAAAUAAACCACAAACUUCAUCUACAUAGAUCAGAUGCAAGUCUGGAUGUGAAGAUCCAUCUCCUGUGAAAGGAUUAGCGAGCAGUUUCUCAAGCAUACCCGAAGGAAUUUCAUAAAAGAUAUUUUCAGUAGGUACCUCAGGUGGAGGAACAACUCCUCGUGCUUCCGUUCGUGGUGAAGAUACCCCGAACAAACUCCUCAAAGGAACAGUUUCCAUAGUGACAAGUGACAAUAAAUUUCAGCACAGUAUAUACAUGUUUCCUUACCAAUUUCCACUUACCAAAGGCGCUUCACUCCCCGGCAACGGCGCCAGAAAAGAGUCUUGAUGACCCACAAGUAUAGGGGAUCAAUCGUAGUCCUUUCGAUAAGUAAGAGUGUCGAACCCAACGAGGAGCAGAAGGCUGUGAUAAACGGAUUUCAGCAUGGUAAUAACUGCAAGCACUGAAAGUAGCGGUAACAAGUGAUUGUGUAGCAAGGUGAAACGUAGCAAGCAAAAAGUAACAAGUAACAAGUAGUAGCAAUGGUGCAGCAAGUGGCCCAAUCCCUUUUGUAGCAAGGGACAAGCCUGAACAAAGUCUUAUAGGAGGAAAAACGCUCCCGAGGGCACACGGGAAUUUCUGUCAUGCUAGUUUCAUCAUGUUCAUAUGAUUCGCGUCCGUUACUUUGAUAGUUUGAUAUGUGGGUGGAACGGCGCUUGGGUACUUCCCUUACUUGUACAAGCAUCCCACUUAUGAUUAACCUCUCUCGCAAGCAUCCGCAACUACAAAAUAAGAAUUAAGACAAAGUCUAACCAUAGCAUUAAACUAGUGGAUCCAAAUCAGCCCCUCACGAAGCAACGCAUAGACUGGGGUUUAAGCUUCUGUCACUCCAGCAACCCAUCAUCUACUUACUACUCCCCAAUGCCUUCCUCUAGGCCCAAUUAUGGUGAAGUAUUUUGUAGUCGACGUUCACAUAACACCACUAGAGGAAAAGACAACAUACAACAUAUCAAAAUACCGAACGAAUAUCAAAUUCACAUGACUAUUAUUAACAUGACUUAUCCCAUGUCCCCAGGAACAAAAGUAACUACUCACAAAACAUAAUCAUAAUCAUGAUAAGAGGUGUAAUGAAUAGCAUCAAGGAUCUGAACAUAAACUCUUUCAGCAAGCAAUCCAACUAGCAUCAACUACAAAGAGUAAUCAACACUACUAGCAACCUUACAAGUAUCAAUCGAAGUUGCGAGAUGAAGAUUGGUUACAAGAGAUGAACUAGGGAUUGGAGAGGAGAUGGUGCUGAUGAAGAUGUUGAUGAAGAUGCCUCCCCUCCGACGAGAGGAGUGUUGGUGAUGAUGAUGGCGACGAUCUCCCCCUCCGGGUGGGAAGUUUCCCCGGCAGGAUCGUCCUGCCGGAGCUCUAGAUUGGAUCUGCUCAAGUUCCGCCUCGUGGCGGCGGCGAAACCACGAAAAAUCUCCCUUCUGAUUUUUUCUCGCCCAGGACGCUUCAUAUAGAAAAAGAGGGGGGCUAGUGGGCCGUCAUGGAUCCCACAAGCCCCCACUACGCCACCAGGGGGUGGUGGCGGUGGCAGGGCUUGUGGCGCCUUGGCAGCCCCCCUCCGAUAGUUCUUUCACCAAGUAUUUUUUAUAUAAUCCCAAAAAAAAUCCACGUAACUUUUCAGGGCAUUUGGAGAUGUGCAGAAUAGUGGACUAAGAUUUGCUCCUUUUCCAGUCCAGAAUUCCAGCUGCCUGAAUUCUCCCUCUUCAAAUAAACCUUGCAAAAUAAGAGAGAAAAGGCAUAAAUAUGGUACCACAAAUAAUAUAACAGCCCAAAAAGCAAUAAAUAUCAACAUGAAAGCAUGAUGCAAAAUGCACGUAUCAACUCCCCCAAGCUUAGACCUCGCUUGUCCUCAAGCAAAAACCAAGUCCCAUAAACAUGUCCACAUGUUGAGGGACGAAGGUGUCGAUAAAACAUAAUACGGACAUGAUGGCAUCAUGAUCACACAUAGAACAACAAUAAAUCAUAAGGAUUCUUACGGAAAGUAACAAUUCCUUCACAAAGCAAAGCAUGAAGUAAAAGCCUUACCAAGAAGUAACCAACAAUAAACCAUAGUCAUUGAAGCAAUUGCAAUUUAUCACAACAUCAAAAAGAGUCAAAUAAGAGCUUGUAAGGCAAACCCACAUACUCAAUCAUCUCUUUUGUUUUCCACAAUUGUUACAACUCACGUGGUACUCAUGGUGUCAAAGUUUCAGCUGGACACAGAGGAAGAUAAGGGCUGAUAGUUUUGCCUCCCAACCAUUUACCUCAAAGGUAAAGUCAACAACAAUAAAUCAUAAGUACUCAACUCCAAGUUGAUAUAUGAAUAUAGAUCUUUCCCAAGCAUGUGACGGUAGCCAAGACAAAGGCAAAAAUAGGGAAUUGGUGAUGAUCACCAUGACUCUUACAAGGGCAAAAAGUAAAGGUACAAGAUAGGCCCUUCGCAGAGGGAAGCAGAGGUUGUCAUGCGCUUUUGUAGUUUGAAUGUGUGUCCUCUUAGUGCGGAGGAACGUCACUUUAUAUUGCCUCCUGUGAUAAAGAACUUUAUUAUGCAGUCUGUCGCUUUUAUGUCUUCCUCAUCACAGGUUUGUACAAAGCUUAUUUUCCACACACUAAUAGAUCAUACAUAUUAGAGAGCAAUUUUUAUUGCUUGCACCGAUGACAACUUACUUGAAGGAUCUUAUUCAAUCCAUAGGUAGGUAUGGUGGACUCUCAUGGCAAAACUGGGUUGGAGGUUUAUGGAUGCACAAGUAGUAUCUCUACUUGGUGCAGGAGUUUUGGCUAAUAUGAGGUGGAAGCAAUCGUCACAUGCUAAGGGAUCUCUAAUCAUAUAACAUUGUUUGGAACCAAGCAAACACAAUUCAUUAUGUUGUCUUCCUUGUCCAACAUCUACUCCUAGGCAUGUAAUAGUUUGGUGAGUGCUCACAAUUGCAAAAAGUGUCUAAGAUGAUAUAUUUAUAUGUGAACCUCUCUUUCCUUAUUACUUCUUACUAAAUGCAACAAUGACUGAGGUCUAUGUUGAUUUAUUCUCAACAAGUUUCAAUCAUCAUACGUGUCAUAAGUGAAGUUAUCACUUUCCAUAAGAUCGUCUCAUGAUCUUUCAUGCUAUCGUUCUUUUCAUACUUUUGAUCAUGGCACAAAGCAAAGCCCUUGACUAAGACACUCUUUAUUAUAUAGCUCGUAAGCUCGAAUACAUCGGGGGAGAGACAAAAGCAAAAGACUCAAACUAGACACUAAAGACUUAUUCCUCUAAGAGAAGAAAUAAAAACUGAAAAGGAAAGAACUAAAACAAAGGUAAAAGCAAAAGAUAUAAAGGUGAUACGAUACCAGGGCAACUCCCCCAAGCUUGGCAGAAGCCAAGGGGAUUGCCCAUACCAAUGCUUAGUUGUCUUCCUUUGGUGGUGAAGGUGGUGAAGUUGCUGCCGCCUUUGAUUCCAAGAGAGUUAUCAAUCUUUGAUUUAUACCUUUGAGAUCUGUGACAUGGUUUUCCAGCAAAACAACUUCACGAGAAAGGGAAAUAUUGCGAGCACGAGUUGUUUCGCAAAACCUCGAGAGUUCAAUCAAGGAUGGAGACAUCACGUGGAGGAAGGGUUGGAGAAAGUCUACCCCUUCAACGUCUUCAAUGUUGAAUAUAGGUUGAACUUCCUCCCUAACUUGGGUUUUCUCCUUAGCUUGAUCCCUGGCUUCCGUGACUUCUACUCUUUUCAGAUCUGCAUCUACUUCCUCAUGAACUUGGUGAAGAUCAUUCUCCCCAACAGAUUCCUGAGACAUCUUUGCUCUAAAUCUGCGGCAAACAACAAGCUCAAAACGAAAACAGAGGAAAACUACGCGAUACGGAGAUCAAAACCUUCAGGCGACUAUAUAUUGAUAUUUUUUUCUGGGCCAGAAGGAGUCCUCUACAAGAAAACGGAGUCCGGGAGGCACACGAGGUGCCCACAAGCUUGCCCUCCGCCACCAGGGGGUAGGGGGCGAUGGCAGGGCUUGUGGCCGCCUCGUUCGCUCUCCGGGCUGCUUUUUAUUUUUCCAAUUUUCCAAAAAUUCCAAAACGGAAGAAAUUUCCUAUUGGAAAAGUAUCCGAGUCCAAUUUCUCACCGAAACAGAUACAUCUUCGUUUUCAAGGUUUGAAACAGGCUGAUAAACAUCCCUUAUGUACUCCUCUGGAGUUAUUACAUUGAUGAUAUUGGUCUCAACAUUUAUGGGAGUACGAGAGAUGUAAUGCUUGAUUCUUUGCCCAUGUAUCACUCUAGGAAAAUUUCCUUCCGUGUUAUUGAUUUUGAUGUCACCGUAACGAUAUACUUCCUCGAUAACAUAGGGACCUUCCCAUUUAGAGAGAAGCUUGCCUGCAAAGAAUCUCAAACGAGAAUUGUAUAGCAAGACAUAAUCACCUACAUUGAACUCUCGCUUCUGUAUUUGUUUGUCGUGCCAUCUCUUAACCUUUUCCUUGAACAACCUAGCAUUCUCGUAUGCCUAGGCUCUCCAUUCAUCUAACGAGCUGAUAUCAAACAACCGCUUCUCACCGGAAAGUUUGAAAUCAAAGUUGAGCUCUUUGAUUGCCCAAUAAGCUUUGUGUUCCAGCUCAAGAGGUAAAUGACAGGCCUUACCGUCAACCAUUUUAUAUGGUGACAUGCCCAUGGGAUUCUUAUAAGCAGUCCUGUAAGCCCAUAGUGCAUCGUCAAGUUUGCUAGACCAGUUCUUUUGAGAUCUAUUGACGGUCUUUUGUAGGGUCAACUUGAUCUCCCUAUUACUCAACUCCACUUGACCACUAGACCGAGGAUGAUAAGGAGAUGCAACUCUAUGGUUGACAUCAUACUUAGCUAGCAUCUUGCGGAAAACACCAUGAAUGAAGUGUGAACCAUCAUCAGUCAUCAAGUAUCUAGGGACUCCAAAUCUUGGGAAUAUGACUUCUUUAAGCAUCUUAAUAGAGGUGUGGUGAUCAACAUUUUUAGUGGGGAUAGCUUCUACCCACUUAGUGAUGUAGUCCACAGCAACUAAGAUGUGAGUAUACCCAUUGGAACUUGGGAAGGGUCCCAUAUAAUCAAAGCCCCAGACAUCAAAUGGUUCAAUGACAAGUGAAUAGUUCAUAGGCAUUUCCUGACGCUUACUGAUGUUCCCUAUUCUUUGGCAUUCGUCACAAGACAAGACAAACUUACGGGCAUCCUUGAAGAGAGUGGGCCAAUAGAAACCUGAUUGCAAUACCUUGUGGGCAGUUCUGUCUCCAGCGUGGUGUCCUCAGUAGGCUUCGGAAUGACACUUCUGCAAGAUCUGUCCCUGUUCAUGUUCAGGCACACAACGUCUAAUAACACCAUCUACUCCUUCCUUAUAAAGGUGAGGAUCAUCCCAAAAGUAGUGUCUCAAAUCAAAGAAGAAUUUCUUCUUUUGGUGAUAGGUGAAACUGGGUGGUAUGUAUUUGGCUACGAUAUAGUUUGCAUAAUCGGCAUACCACGGUGCACUAUGUGAAGUGCGAAUGACAUUUAAUUGCUCAUCAGGAAAGCUAUCAUCAAUAGGUAGUGGGUCAUCAAGGACAUUCUCUAGCCUAGACAAGUUAUCUGCUACAGGGUUAUCAGCACCCUUUCGGUCAACGACGUGCAAAUCAAAUUCCUGUAGCAGGAGAACCCAUCUGAUAAGCCUAGGCUUAGCGUCCUUCUUCUCCAUGAGGUACUUAAUAGCAGCAUGAUCAGAGUGAAUAGUGACUUUGGAGUCAACUAUGUAAGAUCUGAACUUUUCACAUGCAAACACGACUGCUAAAAAUUCCUUCUCCGUAGUGGCAUAGUUUCUUUGGGCACUGUCUAGAGUUUUACUAGCGUAGUGAAUGACAUUCAACUUCUUGUCAACUCUGUGUCCUAGAACAGCACCAACAGCAUAAUCACUAGCGUCACACAUGAUUUCAAAGGGCAAGUUCCAGUCAGGUGGUUGAACAAUAGGUGCGGUUAUCAAAGCCUUCUUAAGUAUUUCAAAGGCUUCCUCACAAUCCUCAUCAAAAACAAAAGGAACAUCCUUCUGCAAGACGUUGGUAAGAGGCCUAGAAAUCUUAGAGAAGUCUUUAAUGAAUCUUAUAUAGAAACCAGCAUGACCUAGGAAACUUCGUAUACCUCUGAUAUCUGUGGGGCAAGGCAUUUUCUCAAUUGCAUAUCAACCUUAGCCUUAUCAACGUCAAUGCCUCUUUCAAAGAUUUUGUGUCCUAAGACAAUACCUUCAUUGACCAUAAAGUGGCACUUCUCCCAAUUCAAGACGAGGUUGGUUUCUUCGCAUCUCUGUAAGACUCAAUCAAGGUUGCUGAGGCGAUCAUCAAAGGAAGACCCGUAAACGGAGAAGUCAUCCAUGAAAACCUCGACAAUCUUUUCACAAAAGUCAGAGAAUAUAGCCAUCAUACAUCUUUGGAAGGUGGCAGGUGCAUUACAUAAGCCAAAAGGUAUACGUCUAUAGGCAAAGGUACCGAAAGGGCAGGUGAAAGUGGUUUUCUCUUGAUCAGAUUGUGCAACAGGUAUCUGCGAGAAACCUGAAUAACCGUCUAGAAAGCAGAAGUGUGUGUGUUUUGAUAGCCUUUCUAGCAUUUGGUCGAUAAACGGCAAAGGAUAAAGAUCUUUCCUGGUUGCCUUGUUCAGUUUCCGGAAGUCUAUCACCAUCCUAUAGCCGGUAAUAAUCCUUUGUGAGAUUAGUUCAUCCUUAUCAUUAGGAACGACGGUGAUACCUCCCUUCUUAGUUACGCAAUGUACUUGACUUACCCAAUCACUAUGAGCAACAGGAUAAAUGAUUCCUGCUUCUAUAAGCUUUAAUAUUUCUUUUCUAACGACCUCUUUCAUCUUAGGAUUUAAUCUCCUUUGAUGAUCAGCAACUGGUUUAAAGUCAGGAUCGGUUUUAAUCUUGUGCUGACAUAGAGUAGGACUAAUACCCUUAAGAUCAUCAAGAGUAUAUCAAAUAGCAGCACGGUGCUUCCUCAGAGUUCUUAGUAACUUCUUCUCUUCGUGCUCUGAGAGGAGGGCACUAAUAAUGACAGGAUAUAUCUCCUUCUCAUCAAGAUAGGCAUACUUACGAGUAUCAGGCAACUGUUUAAGCUCGAAAACAGGAUCACCCUUUGGUGGGGGAGGAUCCCCAAGCAGUUCAACAGGCAGAUUAUUCUUGAGAAUAGGAUAUUGUUCUAAGACAAUUUUAUCUAUCUCAUCUCUCUCCUCCAUAUGCAUAUCAUUUUCAUGCUCAAGAAGAUAUUGCUCUAAAGGACCCGUAGGAGGUACGGCAAUACAGGCAAGAGCAAUAAUUUCAUCUCUAACCGACGACUCUCUUUCAUGGGGUUAUCUUCUAAACUUGGAGAAGUUAAAUUCAUGAGACACACCCUUGAAACUAACUGUGAUGGUCUUCUUAAUGCAAUCAAUGUCAGCAUUGACAGUGUUGAGAAAGGGUCUACCAAAUAUGAUGGGACAAAAGCUAUCUUGUGCAGUACCAAGGACGAGGAAAUUAGUAGGAUACUUCGUCUUACCACACAGGACUUCUACGUCUCUCACAAUUCCCAGAGGACAGAUAGUGUCUCUAUUAGCUAGCGUGAUAGUGACAUCAACGGGUUCUAACUCAGCAGGUGCAAUCUCAUCUUUGAUUUCAUCAUAUAGAGAACGGGGUAUUGCACUAACACUAGCUCCCAUAUCACAUAAACCAUGGUAACAGUGAUCUCCUAUCUUGACAGAAACAACGGGCAGGCCAACUACAGGUCCGUCUUUGUCUUUCGCGUGAGGUUUAGCAAUUCUAGCGGAGUCCUCACAGAAUUUGAUAACGUGCCCAUCUAUGUCUUCGCCUAAGAGAUCUUUGAUAAUAGCAACACUAGGUUCAACUCUAAUCUCCUCAGGGGGUGCAAGUGGUCUAAUGUAACCCCUACAUAUCACAGUUGGAGCUUUAGAAUAAUCCUUUUUCCUAGCAGGGUAUGAUGGUUUCUGAGUGUAAGCACAAGUAACAACAGGAUCACUAAAAGCAAUGACUUUCUCCUCAACUAGAUUGGUUUUGGCUAUGUUGCUUUCUACAGGAGGAUGAUAUUUAAACCACUUCUCUUUGGGAAGAUCAACAUGAGCAGCAAAAGAUUCACAUAGAGAAGCUACUAUCUCAGAGUCAAGUCCAUACUUAGCGCUAAAAUCUCUAGAAGUGUUUGUCUCAACAAAAGAUUUAACGCAAUCAAACUGGAAAUUCAUACCUGACUCCUUACUUCCUCCAGCUCCCAAUCUUCAGAGUUGCGUUUGAUUCUCUCCAAUAAAUUCCACUUGUGAUCAAUAUCCUUCUUCAUAAAAGAACCGGUACAAGAAGUGUCAAGCAUGGUACGAUCUUCAUGAGAAAGCCGAGCAUAAAAGUUUUGAGUGAUGAUUUCUCUCGAGAGCUCGUGAUUGGGACAUGAAUAUAGCAUUGAUUUAAGCCUCCCCAAGCUUGAGCUAUGGUUUCCCUAUCACGAGGCCAAAAGUUAUAAAUAAAGUUCCGAUCACGAUGUACUAAAUGCAUAGGAUAGAACUUCUGAUGAAAUUCCAAUUUCAACUGAUUGUAGCCCAUGAUCCAGUAUCAUCACAUAGCCUAUACCAUGUCAACGCCUUAUCCUUCAAAGAUAAAGGAAAUACUUUCUUCUUUACCUCAUCCUCGGGCAAACCUGCAAGCUUAAAUAAACCACAAACUUCAUCUACAUAGAUCAGAUGCAAGUCUGGAUGUGAAGAUCCAUCUCCUGUGAGAGGAUUAGCCAGCAGUUUCUCAAGCAUACCCGAAGGAAUUUCAUAAAAGAUAUUUUCAGUAGGUACCUCAGGUUGAGGAACAACUCCUCGUGCUUCCGUUUGUGGUGAAGAUACCCCGAACAAACUCCUAAAAGGAACAGUUUCCAUAGUGACAAGUGACAAUAAAUUUCAGCACAGUAUAUAAAUGUUUCCUUACCAAUUUCCACUUACCAAAGGCGCUUCACUCCCCGGCAACGGCGCCAGAAAAGAGUCUUGAUGACCCACAAGUAUAGGGUAUCAAUCGUAGUCCUUUCGAUAAGUAAGAGUGUCGAACCCAACGAGGAGCAGAAGGCUCUGAUAAACGGAUUUCAGCAAGGUAAUAACUGCAAGCGCUGAAAGUAGCGGUAACAAGUGAUUGUGUAGCAAGGUGAAACGUAGCAAGCAAAAACUAACAAGUAACAAGUAGUAGCAAUGGUGCAGCAAGUGGCCCAAUCCCUUUUGUAGAAAGGGACAAGCCUGAACAAAGUCUUAUAGGAGGAAAAACGCUCCCGAGGACACACGGGAAUUUCUGUCAUGCUAGUUUCAUCAUGUUCAUAUGAUUCGCGUUCGUUACUUUGAUAGUUUGAUAUGUGGGUGGACCGGCGCUUGGGUACUGCCCUUACUUGGACAAGCAUCCCACUUAUGAUUAACCUCUCUCGCAAGCAUCCGCAACUACAAAAGAAGAAUUAAGACAAAGUCUAACCAUAGCAUUAAACUAGUGGAUCCAAAUCAGCCCCUCACGAAGCAACGCAUAGACUGGGGUUUAAGCUUCUGUCACUCCAGCAACCCAUCAUCUACUUACUACUCCCCAAUGCCUUCCUCUAGGCCCAAGUAUGGUGAAGUGUUAUGUAGUCGACGUUCACAUAACACCACUAGAGGAAAAGACAACAUACAACAUAUAAAAAUACCGAACAAAUAUCAAAUUCACAUGACUAUUAUUAACAUGACUUAUCCCAUGUCCUCAGGAACAAAAGUAACUACUCACAAAACAUAAUCAUAAUCAUGAUUAGAGGUGUAAUGAAUAGCAUCAAGGAUCUGAACAUAAACUCUUCCACCAAGCAAUCCAACUAACAUCAACUACAAAGAGUAAUCAACACUACUAGCAACCUUACAAGUACCAAUCGGAGUUGCGAGACGAAGAUUGGUUACAAGAGAUGAACUAGGGAUUGGAGAGGAGAUGGUGCUGAUGAAGAUGUUGAUGAAGAUGCCUCCCCUCCGACAAGAGGAGUGUUGGUGAUGACGAUGGCGACGAUCUCCCCCUCCGGGAGGGAAGUUUCCUCGGCAGGAUCAUCCUGUCGGAGCUCUAGAUUGGAUCUGCUCAAGUUCCGCCUCAUGGCGGCGGCUAAACACUAGUGGAAAACAGGCCUUUGACCUGGACCCUUUAGUCCCGGUCUGCCUCUGGGCCGGGACUAAAGGCCCGGCCACGUCGCUCCAAAUCGCAAUGCCUCCCACGAGGCUUUGGUCCCGGCCCGUAAGGAGCCUUUAGUCCCGGUUUGUGUCCCAAACCGGGACUAAAGGGCUACGCGGUGUGCAGCCCGCAUGUGCGCCACCUGUACUCCCGGUUUGUGUCUCAAACCGGGACUAAAGUCCUCUGCCUAUAUAUAGCACAUCCCCCUUCUCCCCUCUUCCUUGCAUUUUUCUUGGAUGGAAGAGUGUGGGUGUGUGCUAGCUCUCCAUUUUUUUAUGCACUAGAGGUGUUUGUUGAAAUGUGUGUUAGAGCGAUGCCGCUUCAGUUCACCGAACACAACUACAAUAUGAGAUGCCUGAGCCACGCUUAAACCUCUUCCUCUUUAUUUCUACUUAUUCUAAAAGGUUAGCAACUAUAUUUACUCGUUUAGACCGUGCGGUACUAAUUUUUAGGAUCGUGAUUGUAUUUGAUAUACUGUCGUAUAACGCAGAUGAGCCAUCCAUGGAUGUACGGUGAUCGACGCACAGCCGCUUACAGAGAAGGCGUGCAUUCUUUUCGAGAUGCAGCCGAUGCGAACAAGCAUGGUGGUGGCUUUAUGUUUUGUCCAUGUGUUGAAUGUCGGAAUGAGAAGGAUUACACUUCCUCAAGAGUCAUUCAGAGCCACCUGCUUCGGUCCGGUUUUAUGUCGGGCUAUAAUGUUUGGACCAAGCACGGAGAAAGAGGGGUUAUGAUGGAAGACGAUGAUGAAGAAGAAGAGAACGAUGAUGACAACUACCGAUCUAUGUUCCCUGAGUAUGCUGAUACCACAAUGGAAGACAAUGAAGAAGAAGAUCAGGAUGAAGAACGGGAACCAGAUGAGCCCGCUGAUGAUCUUGGCCGGGUCAUUUCUGAUGCAGGGCGAGGUUGUGACACAGAAAAGGAGAGGUUGCAGUUCGAGCAGAUGUUACAGGACCACAACAAAUUGUUGUACCCAACUUGUGAAGAUGGCCAGAAGAAGCUGGGUAGCACACUGGAAUUGCUGAAGUGGAAGGCAGAGACCGAUGUGACUGACUCGUCAUUCGAAAAGUUGCUAGUAGUGAUGAAGAAGAUGCUUCCAAGAAAGAACGAAUUGCCCGCCAGCACGUACGAAGCAAAGAAGCUUGUCUGCCCUCUAGGAUUAGACGUGCAGAAGAUACAUGCAUGCCCUAAUGACUGCAUCCUCUACCGCGGUGAGAAGUACGAGAAUAUGGAUAAAUGCCCGGUAUGCACUGCAUUGCGGUAUAAGAUCAGAAAAGAUGACCCUGGUGAUAUUGAGGGCGAGCCACCCACGAAGAGGGUUCUUGCCAAGGUGAUGUGGUAUGCUCCUAUAAUACCACGGUUGAAACGUCUGUUCAGAAAUAAAGAUCAUGCGAAGUUGUUGCGAUGGCACAUGGAAGACCGUAUGAAAGACGAUAAGUUGAGGCACACCGCUGAUGGUCGACAGUGGAUAAAAAUCGAGAGAGAGUUCCCGAGAUUUGUAGCUGACGCAAGGAACUUAUGGUUAGGUUUGAGUACAGAUGGCAUGAAUCCUUUUGGGGAGCAGAGUUGCAGUCACAGCACCUGGCCCGUUACUCUAUGUAUCUACAACCUUCCUCCUUGGUUGUGCAUGAAGCGGAAGUUCAUUAUGAUGCCAGUGCUUAUCCAAGGUCCAAAGCAACCCGGCAACGAUAUUGAUGUGUACCUAAGGCCAUUAGUUGAUGAACUUUUACAACUGUGGGCCAAACCAGGUGUACGUGUGUGGGACGAGCACAAACAAGAGGAAUUUGACCUUCGAGUGUUGCUUUUCGUAACCAUCAAUGAUUGGCCUGCUCUUAGUAACAUUUCAGGACAGUCAAACAAGGGAUACAAUGCAUGCACACACUGUUUGGAUCAGACAGAAAGUAUAUAUCUGGACAAAUGUAGGAAGAAUGUGUACCUGUACAAUCGUCGUUUUCUUCCUCCCAAGCAUCCCUUAAAGAAAAAAGGCAAGCAUUUCAAUGGCAAGGCAGAACCCCGGGGGAAGCCUGUCAUCCGUACUGGUGCUGAAGUAUUUGAUAUGGUCAAAGAUUUAAAAUUAAUCUUUGGAAAGGAUCCUGGCAGCCAACCUAUUCCUAAGGCCCUGAUAAGCGCGUACCCAUGUGGAAGAAGAAAUCUAUAUUUUGGGAGCUACCCUACUAGGAAGUCCAUGAGGUCCGCUCGGGAAUCGACGUGAUGCACCUGACGAAGAAUCUCUGCGUGAAUAUUCUAGGCUUCCUGGGCUUGUAUGAGAAGUCAAAAGAUACACCGGAAGCACGGGAGGACCAGGAACGUCAUAAAGGAAGAGAUGCCAUGCAUCCAGGGAAGUUUCAAGGGCGUGCCAGCUACGUUCUUACUAAGGAAGAGAAGGAAAUCUUCUUUGAAGUCCUUUUCAGCAUCAAGGUCCUGACUGGCUUCUCGUCGAAUAUAAAGGGAAUCGUAAAUAUGAAUACAAAAAAUUCCAAAACCUAAAGUCUCAUGACUGCCACGUGCUUAUGACGCAAUUGCUUCCGGUUGCAUUGAGGGGAAUUCUACCGGAAAAUGUUCGCCUGGCAAUUGUGAAGGUAUUUGCAUUCCUCAAUGCAAUUUCUCAGAAGGUAAUCGAUCGAGAAAGUCUAUCAGGGUUACAGAUUGAUGUGGUCCAAUGUCUGGUCAGCUUUGAGUUGUUGUUCCCGCCAUCCUUCUUCAAUAUAAUGACACACCUCCUAGUUCACCUAGUCGAAGAGAUUAGAAUUCUCGGUCCUGUGUUUCUACACAAUAUGUUCCCCUUCGAGAGGUUCAUGGGAGUCUUAAAGAAAUAUGUUCGUAACCGUGCUAGGCUAGAAGGAAGCAUCUCCAAGGGCUAUGGAACAGAGGAGGUCAUUGAGUUCUGUGUGGACUUUCUUCCUGACCUUAAGCCGAUUGGUGUUCCUGAAUCUCGGUAUGAGUGUAGGCUGACAGGAAAAGGCACACUAGGAAGGAAAGCAAAAGUAUGUAUGGACGGGCAUUCUUUCUCUCAAGCACACUACACAGUUCUACACAAUUCCACCGUGGUGGCUCCGUAUAUCGUGAGACACAAGAAUAUUCUACGCUCUGAAAACCCGGGGAAGGCUGACUCUUGGAUUAAAGGGGAACACGAGAAGACUUUCGGCAGUUGGUUGCAGACACAUCUCAUGAAUGACGACACCGUUGGAGAUCAGCUGUACUAUUUGGCCAGGCCACCAUCUUCGACUAUAUGUACUUUCCAAGGGUAUGAGAUAAAUGGGAAUACAUUUUACACGGUUGCCCAAGAUAAAAAGAGCACCAACCAAAAUAGUGGUGUCCGCUUUGAUGCAACAGACGAGAAUGGGCACUGUUUGGAAACAUAUUUCGGGUACAUAGAGGAGAUAUGGGAACUUGACUAUGGACCUACUUUUAAGAUCCCUUUGUUUCGGUGCAAAUGGGUGAAGCUGACAGGAGGCGGGGUAGUUGUAGACCAAAACUACGGCAUGACAACAGUGGAUCUCAACAAUCUUGCGUACAUGGAUGAACCAUUUGUCCUAGCCAAUGAUGUCGCUCAGGUUUUCUAUGUGAAGGACAUGUCUACAAAAACGAGAAAAAAAAUCAGCAAAAGAAGAUAUCGUCCGAUGAGCCAAAACGCCACGUAGUUCUUUCAGGGAAAAGAAACAUAGUGGGAGUAGAUGACAAGACAGACAUGUCAGAAGAUUAUAAUAAGUUUCAUGAAAUUCCGCCCUUCAAAGUGAAAACUGACCCAAGCAUCCUACUGAAUGAUGAAGAUUCUCCAUGGCUACGACCCAGAAGAAAACAGAAAUAAUAGAUAGGAAUAUUGGUGCAAUAAUGUAAUAAUGUAUUAAACCUUUUAUGUAAUGCAUGUAUGGAAUGUACUAAAUUUCAAACACUUUUCAUUUUCAUAGUUUUGUCAAAUUCUCAAAUAUGCAAAAAGAAUUUUAAUAAACCUUUGUAAGAGAUGAGUUCUCGUUCGAAACCCUGAUACUUCGAGAGAGAUUGUCCGUUUUGUACGCGAAGUGCAUCCAGUUUUUGUCGUAGCCCUCUCAACUUUUUAACACAUGCUAUGUGGGUGAAAUGAUGAUAGCAUGCCAACUUUCAACAUUUUCAGAGUUCAUUUGUAGUGCUUUUCAAUUUCAGGGUCAACUAGCUCAAAAAAAAGUAAAUACACGAAGAAUACCAAAUGAAGUCAGAAAUUGUUGAAAUUUUGUGAUGUGCCUUUGAAUGGUGCAUUUUGAACACACAAAAGUAUGGAGUUCAAAUAAGUUCAAAAAAAUGAAAUCCCUUUGUAAGAGAUGAGUUCUCGUUUGAAACCCUGAUACUUCGAGAGAGAUUGUCCGUUUUGUACACGAAGUGCAUCCAGUUUUUGUCGUAGCCCUAUCAACAUUAUAACACAUGCUAUGUGGGUGAAAUGAUGAUAGCAUGCCAACUUUCAACAUUUUCAGAGUUCAUUUGUAGUGCUUUUCAAUCUGAGGGUCAACUAGCUCAAAAAAAAAAAGUAAAUGCACGAAAUAUACCAAAUUAAGUCAGAAAUUGUUGAAAUUUUGUGAUGUGCCUUUGAAUGGUGCAUUUUGAACACACAAAAAGUAUGGAGUUCAAAUAAGUUCAAAAAAAUGAAAUCCCUUUGUAAGAGAUGAGUUCUCGUUCGAAACCUUAAUACUUCGAGAGAGAUUGUCCGUUUUGUACACGAAGUGCAUCCAGUUUUUGUCGUAGCCCUCUCAACUUUUUAACACAUGCUAUGUGGGUGAAAUGAUGAUAGCAUGCCAACUUUCAACAUUUUCAGAGUUCAUUUGUAGUGCUUUUCAAUUUUAGGGUCAACUAGCUCCAAAAAAAAUAAGUAAAUGCACGAAGAAUACCAAAUGAAGUCAUAAAUUGUUGAAAUUUUGUGAUGUGCCUUUGAAUGGUGCAUUUUGAACACACAAAAAGUAUAGGAGCUCCAAUAAGUUCAAAAAAUUCAAAUCCCAUUGUACGAGAUGAGUUCUCGUUCGAAUACCUUAUACUUCGAGAGAGAUUGUCCGUUUUGUACACGAAGUGCAUCCAGUUUUUGUCGUAGCCCUCUCAACUUUUUAACACAUGCUAUGUGGGUGAAAUGAUGAUAGCAUGGCAACUUUCAACAUUUUCAGAAUUCAUUUGUAGUGCUUUUCAAUUUCAGGGUCAACUAGCUCAAAAACAAUAAGUAAAUGCACGAAAUAUACCAAAUUAAGUCAGAAAUUGUUGAAAUUUUGUGAUGUGCCUUUUGAAUGGUGCAUUUUGAACACACAAAAAGUAUGAAGUUCAAAUAAGUUCAAAAAAAUGAAAUCCCUUUGUAAGAGAUGAGUUCUCGUUCGAAACCCUCAUACUUCGAGAGAGAUUGUCCGUUUUGUACACGAAGUGCAUCGAGUUUUUGUCGUAGCCCUCUCAACUUUUUAACACAUUCUAUGUGGGUGAAAUGAUGAUAGCAUGCCAACUUUCAACAUUUUCAGAGUUCAUUUGUAGUGCUUUUCAAUUUCAGGGUCAACUAGCUCAAAAAAAUAGUUUUUAAUUGAAAAAUAACAAAAUAGUUAAUAGUUUGGAUAGUCAAAAUAAUUAGUUUUGAAAAUAGAAAAUAUUUUUGAAUUAUUUAUUCAAUUUCAAACACUUUUCAUUAUCAUAGUGUUGUCAAAUUCUCAAAUAUGCAAAAAGAAUUUUAAUAAACAUAGUUUUAAUUGAAAAUAACAAAAUAGUUAAUAGUUUGGAUACUCAAAAUAAUUACUUUUGUAAAUAGAAAAUAGUUUUGAAUUAUUUAUUCAAUUUCAAACACUUUUCAUUAUCAUAGUUUUGUCAAAUUCUCAAAUAUGCAAAAAGAAUUUAAUAAACAUAGUUUUUAAUUGAAAAUAACAAAAUAGUUAAUAGUUUGGAUAGUCAAAAUAAUUACUGUUGAAAAUAGAAAAUAGUUUUGAAUUAUUUAUUCAAUUUCAAACACUUUUCAUUAUCAUAGUUUUGUCAAAUUCUCAAAUAUACAAAAAGAAUUUUAAUAAACAUAGUUUUUAAUUGAAAAUAACAAAAUAGUUAAUAGUUUGGAUAGUCAAAAUAAUUACUUUUGAAAAUAGAAAAUAGUUUUGAAUUAUUUAUUCAAUUUCAAACACUUUUCAUUAUCAUAGUUUUGUCAAAUUCUCAAAUAUGCAAAAAGAAUUUUAAUAAACAUAGUUUUUAAUUGAAAAUAACAAAAUAGUUAAUUUUGAAAAUAGAAAAAAUUGAAACUAUAUGAGAAUUUAUAGAGAAAAUUAAACCUAAAUUAAACGUGACCUGACUUUGAAUUCAGGUUUAAUUUUCUCCAUAAUUUCAAAUAUAGUUUCAAUUUUUAAAUUUAAAGUCAGUUUAGGCCCGUAAGCCUGCUUUAGAGAGGAGCUCGAUGGAGUUGCUGCGACGGGGCUUUUAAACAAGUGUUAGUCCCCCUCGCUGGGCGAGGUGGGACUAAACUUAUCGUGCAGCCGAGGAGGGGCUUUAGUCCCGGGUGGAGCCACGACCCGGGACUAAAGCCCCUCGCCUGCCGUCUGCCGAGCAUGGGCCUUUAGUNNNNNNNNNNNNNNNNNNNNNNNNNNNNNNNNNNNNNNNNNNNNNNNNNNNNNNNNNNNNNNNNNNNNNNNNNNNNNNNNNNNNNNNNNNNNNNNNNNNNNNNNNNNNNNNNNNNNNNNNNNNNNNNNNNNNNNNNNNNNNNNNNNNNNNNNNNNNNNNNNNNNNNNNNNNNNNNNNNNNNNNNNNNNNNNNNNNNNNNNNNNNNNNNNNNNNNNNNNNNNNNNNNNNNNNNNNNNNNNNNNNNNNNNNNNNNNNNNNNNNNNNNNNNNNNNNNNNNNNNNNNNNNNNNNNNNNNNNNNNNNNNNNNNNNNNNNNNNNNNNNNNNNNNNNNNNNNNNNNNNNNNNNNNNNNNNNNNNNNNNNNNNNNNNNNNNNNNNNNNNNNNNNNNNNNNNCCGAAAAAGGGCCUUUAGCCCCGGGUCGUGGCUCCACCCGGGACUAAAGGGUGUCUUUAGUCCCGGUUUGAGCCCCGAACCGGGACUAAAGAUCCACCUAUAUAAGCGGGAGUUAGAAAAUUUCCAACCCAAAUCUCAUUUCGUUCUCUCCUUCUUCCUCGUUCUCCUGCCCGGCGCGGCACACCGACGAACUCGACGACGCCGUCAGGCUGCCUGCCGUCCUCCUCGCCGCCGCCUGCCGUCCUCCUCGCCGUCGUCAACGCCUCCGGCCGGUAAGCCCCCCGCCCCCUCCUCCCCAACACUCCGGCCGGUAGAAGAAAAGAAGAAAAAGGAGAAGAAAGAAGAAAAAGGAGAAGAAAAGAAGAAAAAGGAGAAGAAAAGAAGAAAAGGAGAAGAAAGGAAGAAAAAGGAGAAGAAAAGAAGAAAAAGGGAAGAAAAGAAGAAAAAGGAGAAGAAAAGAAGAAAAAGGAGAAGAAAAGAAGAAAAAGGGAAGGAAGGAAGAAAAAGGAGAAGAAAGGAAGAAAAAGGAGAAGAAAAGAAGAAAAAGGAGAAGAAAAGAAGAAAAAGGAGAAGAAACGAAGAAAAAGGGAAGAAAGGAAGAAAAAGGAGAAGAAAGGAAGAAAAAGGAGAAGAAAAGAAGAAAAAGGAGAAUAAAGGAAGAAAAAGGAGAAGAAAGGAAGAAAAAGGAGAAGAAAAGAAGAAAAAAGGAAGAAAAGAAGAAAAAGAAAAAGAUUUUUUUUGUCAUUUAAUUCCUAUUGUUAUUAGGUUUGUGCUAGAUUAUUAGGGUUAGUAAUAUUUAGAAUUAGGUUAGGGUUACAAGAAGAAGAAAUAUUAACAAAAAUAAAAAAAUAAGAUUAGGAAAAAGGAAAAUAAGAAGAGGAGGAGAAGAAAAGAAGAAAAAUGAGAAUAAGAAGAGGUGGAGAGGAGAAGAAGAGGAAAAAUAGAAGAAGAGGAGAAGUAGAAGAAGAGAAGUUGAAGAAGAAGCGGAGAAGAAAAUAAGGAAGAAGAAGAAGAAGAAGAAGAAGACAUUUCUACAUAUAUAGAUGCUUAAUUAGUGUUUCUUAGAUUAUUGCUUAAUUUUGCUAUUGUAUAUGCUUAAGUGUUAAUAGUUUAAUUUUGCUGUUGUAUAUGCUUAAGUGUUAAUAGUUUAUUUUUCGCAAAAAAUUAAUAGAACUAGUUUAUUUUUUUAGUUCAUUUUACGAUGCCUAUCCCGCAUCCUCGUCGUCGACUCGGCGGAGGACACCUGCUUGAUCAGAGGGGCCCUGUCCGGGACUGGGCUCCGCCCGGCUGGUAUUGGGAGAUGCUACCUUCCGGGGGGCGUAGGUUGGUGAGGAGCCAGCCCGUUGUUGACCCGAUCCUUGUUUGGUGGCGGUCGCGUGGGCCAGUGACGGUGCCGAGGCUUCCGGACACCGCGGAGGUGGUACGUCACCAUGUUAGCGAGGAGGAUGAGCACGUCCGUCGCUACAUGGUUGCGUUGGAUGGCAGGUUCGAGCAUACCUGGCAGGUUCUUCGGGGAUCUCACUGGAGCUAUGAUCCUGUGAUGGUUCCUUCUCUUUGGGUGUCCACCGCCCGCGACGAUACCCGUCGGGCGCUACGGUUCUAGCUGUAUCAGUGUUGCUAUAUGUAUGAUAGUAUUCGAGGAGUAUUAGUGAUAAUAUUCGACGAUGUACGGACAAAAGAGAUGAUGUAGUUUUGCUUAUAAUUGAAUGCAUGCUAAUUUGAAUACUACUUUAUUUUACGAUUUGGUUUUGCUUAUUGAAUGCUCAAAUGGGAAAAGUACUCCUACUUUGAAUACUAUGCAGAAAUCUAGGAGUCCCGGGUGGAGCCACGACCCGGGACUAAAGUUGUUUUGGAACGGAGUUCCUGAUAGAAUAAUUCUUUUUUGGUACAAAGUUCAACAAAGUCCUUUGACACUAGACAAUGUGACAUAUAGAAGGGUAGAUGAGAUCAGGAAAAAUAGGAUCAUUUUCUACACAUCUAGAAUGUCGCCAUUUUGUUAAAUCCUUAAAGGUUAGGAGAAUCCGUUAGACAUAUUUUAGAGUUUAGGUUCUAGCCAAGACCCGGGACUAAAGGUCCUCCUAUAUAAAACGACACUUCGAAGUUUCCAACCCCUCUUAUAUAGUUUGUUAGUUUAUUAGUUAAUCAAAUGUCGUUUUUUGCAGAACUAUGGAUCCACAUAUCAGGAACCUCGAAGAGGAAGAACUUCUCGAAGAUAUAAUCAAAGACGGCCCCGAUGUUGAACCAGCUGAAUCUCCGUCGUCAUAUCUAAACCCCUCCGGAUAUGGAAUGGAGGUCGACCGACACGAAGAUGAAGUCGAUGGGGCAGGAGAUAGGUCCAAUGACGGAGAAGGUGAUAGCUCCACUGAUGGAGAAGCCGGUGGAGAAAUAAUAAAGUUCGGCGAGGUAUACAUAUGAAGUUCGACAAUCACUUGUAAUAUGUGAAAAAUAUUGUAGAUAGCUCUAUAUUGUAUACAUAUACAUUCAUUUUACGAAUGUUUCUCCCUCUUAGGCCUCCACAUCGAGCAAAGCUACGAAACGAGGCCCGACUAGAAAGUUGGAUGCACUGACGCAUUACACCUUUGAGGUGAUAUUGCCUACGGGCGAACCCAAGCUUCCUAAGAAUGUUGCUGACACAUUCAAGAAGCAAUGCGGAGUUCUCGUUAGGGAUCACGUCCCGAUCAGCGUUCGGGAGUGGAACAAGCGCAAAGGGGCAGCCGAUGGUGACUAUGUCGCCGAAAGGUACAAAGAUAAUCUUUGGAAUGAUCUCAUGUCACAUUUCAACCUGCCAGAAUGUGAGAAUGAAGACGCCGCAGACAAACUGAGGGCCAAAGUCAAGCAGUGGACUCUAAAGAAGAUGGCCAAACUGUUUCGUAGCUGGAAGAAGAAGCUACGGAAAAACUAUCUGAAGACAAAGAAAGUGCCAGUAUUCGAGGGGUAUCUAGCCAAGCACGCGAAUCACUGGAAGGCAUUUCAAGAGUACAAGGAGUCAGAAGAUGCCCAGGCAUUAUCAGAAAAGAACAAGAAAAAUGCCGACAAGAAGAAAUAUCACCACAAGCUGGGGCCACGGGGCUAUGAGACUGCCAUCCCAAAGUGGGAUAAGAAAGAGCAAGAUCUGCUAGCUAAAGGCAUCGUACCUGAACCAUUCCGUGAUGAGUGGGAAUUGAGAGCAAGAAAUUGGUUCCUUGCGCAUGGUGGUUCGUACGACGAAGAAACAGGGGACCUCAUCUGCAGUGACGGUCUUAGGAUACCUAGGGAGAAUUGGAAAAAGAUAGUGAAAGAAAUUAAGGAGGGAAAAAGAAAGUUCACUGCAGAUAGAGAGAAAGAUUUGCUCACACUGGUCCUCGGCAAUGAUGAACAUGGAGGACGAACGUGAGGCUUCGAUCCUUCUUACCCGUGGUGGCUUGGUUUUGCCAGAGACCAAGACACUUACAGAAGCCGAGCGAGAGCAAAGAAGCGGCAGCAGGAUGAGGAGAAUGACAAGUUCAACCAGUUGCUUGCCAGGAUUAACGAGCAACAGAAGCAGAUUGAUGAGCUUAGAGGAGUAGCGCGCCAGGAAGAUCCUGCACUUGAUAUUACCGGCGCCCCAUCUAAGCGGAAAAGCAGCGUGGCUGAAUCUGAGGCCCCGCCCGACGAUGCACGAAGAAUGAUAGAGGGCGGUCCCGGCUACCCCGUGGAUGGAAUCAAGGAGUCAACAUCAUGUGAACUCCAUCAGAAAUUCAAGAACAAAUCCAUGAAGGUGGCCGUCGGACAAGCUUUACCUUUUGGCCCUGAUGCACGCUGGCAUGGCCGUGAGAUUCCAGCUGGCUUUGCUAAAGUUAGGGUGGAUGAAAUCAUUGCGGGGUUUCAUGAUAUGGAGCUCGACAUAGCUGGACCCGAAGAUGAGAGGACACUCAGAGAAGUACUCGGUGGAGUCAUCCUAUGGGACAAGAACUACAUCAAGCUUCCAGGCUCGGCCCCAAGGACAACACCGCCUCCGAGUCGUCGCAGGUCACCUACACCUCCAUCACCUCCAAGCCCUCCACAUGACGUCGGCCAGCACAACACGAGUCCAUCUCGAUCACCGCCGCCGGACUUGGGUCGUCCGUCUCCGCCGUCGCCCGCUCCGGAUACUAAGUGGAAGCGUGCCAGCAAGAACGCUCCGCCGAUGAUUUCUAAGCGAAGGAGCCCCCCAAAGCGCAAACUGUCGCCCCUCCCAAAGGUACCUCAUGCUAAUCUUCCUAUCAGACCUUAUGAUCGUACCCCCGAGGAAAACGCCAGGAUAGCAAAGGAACAUCAUGAUGCGCAGAUGAAAAAGAAGAAACCCGAGCCCCGCCCGGAAUACACCGAGAAGCAAAUAGCAUAUGCAAAAUACUUCACGACCCUUCCAUCACAGUAUGACUUACACCAUAAGCCUGAUGACUAUACAAACACAUUGUAGAAGGAAGUGAAAAAGAGCAGAUCACGUGCAAGUGCAAGUGGGAGCAAAUCAAGUUCAACUACAAGAAAAAAAGAUCAGACGUUCCUCAGCUUGGACAACAGGUCAAACAGUCGAUCCCACCCCUCAGGGUGUUACCCGGGAAUGUCCCCCCUCUGGUGCAGGGGAAAGAUUUGGAUUUAGCAAAGAAGUGGGCGAAUGAAUGGGGUAUCCCGGUUGAAGAAAUUCUAGCUUCCCAAGACGACAGGUUACCCAAGGCUGUGGUAGCCCCUAAGCCACAGUUUGUCAUGGGAGCGCCUUUGGUCAGCAAAGAUGAUCUCCCAACAAAUAUGCGUUACUUGCAUACAUCGUACUUAAGUGAAUCAAAGAAUGGGAGAACGAUGAUCGUGGUGAGUGUCCCACGGGAGUACUACGGCCGCCCCGAAGAAAUCCAUAUCGACUUUGAUGAACUCUUCCAGAUGUACAAUGCCGACGCCCUCGACAAAUCGCUUAUGAGUUGCUAUUGUCUCUAAGUUUUUCAAUUCGUUGUCUACAUAUAACUUGUUUAGUUAUUUCAAUUCAUUGUCUAUAUAUAACUUGUACUCUAUUAUGCAGAAUGGAGAUUGUGGAUUGUAAAAAUAGGAACAUCCUAAAUAUUGGGUUUAUUGACCCAGAUAAAAUACAUAUAGCGACGCUAACUGAUAAACCCAAGGAGACGGAGGAAAACCUUCUAAGGUUUCUAACAGAUCAAAAUUUCUGUGACCACAUACUGUUUCCAUACAAUUUCAGGUGAGGGUCUUUACUCUGUUGUGUCCAUUCACUUAUAAGUGUAAUUGAUAAGUUACACACACACACACAUAUAUAUAUAUAUAUACAUACAUGUGCAGCUUCCAUUGGAUUCUGUUGGACAUUCAAAUUGAUAAGGGAAGAGUUGAUGCCUUCGACCCAUUAUCGAGACCCUUGGAACAGUUCCAAAGCCUGCAGGACAUGCUCCAAGGGUAAUUUCAAUCAUUCUUGCGCUCUAUCGGUCUAUUUCGAUGAUUUUCUGAUAUAUCAAUUAAUGAAAAACUUAGCAAAUCAUUAUCCUUGUCGGGCAGGGUUUGGAAGCGGUUCAAGUGCGUGACUCCCGGUAUCGAGCCUGAGAAGCUAACCUUUAGAGCGGCUCAGGUAAGUAGUAGUAUGCUAUACUUCUAUUUUCAAUACAUUUAUGAUGCUAGAUUAUUAUUUUGAUUAUAUGUAUUCUAUUAUCGUAAAGUGCGACCAGCAGCCACGGGGGACGCAUCUAUGCGGAUACUAUGUUUGCGAGAUCAUUCGCAUGUUUACCUCUGAGCACAAGGAUCACAGAUUCGACGUAAGCAAUGAACAUUCACACCUCUAUUUUUACCCGUCAUUCUUUGUUUUCAUGAUUAUAUUCAUAUUCAUCUCCUCUUCUUAUAUAGUACACGAUCAUGAGGGAGAAGUCCCUACCAGAGCAACGCGCGAUUGCUGUUGCAGAGGAGCUUGCGACCUUUCUGAGGACGGAAGCUAUAGAUGACAAAGGACGAUUUAGUGUAGCUAGGGGCCAUUACUGAUGUUGGUCCAUGUAAUCGAAUAAACGGGCUCUAGUCCCGAUAAUUCAGAUCUCCAUAUAAUUGUAUAUAUAUGCUCGCUUGUAAGAUAAGUUAAUCUUAUAUAUAUAUANCCCUAAAACCCAAAAAUAGACAAAAUCUGAAACUCUUUAGUCCCGGUCCGUGUAAGGACCCGGGACUAAAGGGCCCGCCCCUGAGGACGCUCCGAGGCGCCCACGUGGAGCACCUUUGGUCCCGGCUUGGAACAGGGCCGGGACUAAAGUUUACGCCUUUAGUCCCGCCCCUUUGGUCCCGGUUGUUGAACCGGGACUAAAGCCCCUUACGGGCCGGGACUAUACGCCCUGUCCCCACUAGUGAAACCACGAAAAAGCCCCCUUCUGAUUUUUUUCUGGACCAGGACGCUUCAUAUAGCAAAAGAGGAGGCUAGUGGGCCGUCAGGGAGCCCACAAGCCCCCACUCCACUACCAGGGGGUGGCGGCGGUGGCAGGGCUUGUGGCGCCCUGGCAGCCCCCUUCGGUAGUUAUUUCGCCCAGUAUUUUUUAUAUAAUCCCAAAAAAAAUCCACGUAACUUUUCAGGGCAUUUGAAGAUGUGCAGAAUAGUGGACUAAGAUUUGCUCCUUUUCCAGUCCAGAAUUCCAGCUGCCUGAAUUCUCCAUCUUCAAAUAAACCUUGCAAAAUAAGAGAGAAAAGGCAUAAAUAUGGUACCACAAGUAAUAUAACAGCCCAAAAAGCAAUAAAUAUCAACAUGAAAGCAUGAUGCAAAAUGGACGUAUCAAGGGACGCGGCGCCCGCUACCCAACGGCUGCAGGCUUUGAUCGAGCAAUGUAUCACCGACGUCGAGAGCGACGCUGCCAGGAUGGAGGAGAAAUCCGACACGCGGUGAUCGGCGUUGAUGAUCAACGUUACUGCGAAGAAGAGGAACACCGAUCUGGAGUUCUUGAUGGUGGCAGACACGUCGAUGAUGGACAAGAAGGUGAAGGCGUGGUACAUAGUACAGCGUGACCUCAUCUUGAACCAGAUGACAGCGCCGACGGCGACCACGGCAACCACAACCACGACCGCAAAAGCGACCACGACGACGGCGCCCAACCACGCAGAGCGCAUGCUGGCCGCGAGCCCGACUACGCCGAUGACGGAAAGCCCGUCAACGCCGAUGAUGAGCCCGUUUACACCAGUGAAGGAGGAGCCACACCCCGUCGAGUCGGCCAUGUGAUCUCUUUUUGUCCUUUCCUUUUGAUCGCCGAACUGUUGGUGUGUUUGAUCGCCGAACUAUGUAGCUGAUUGCCGAACUCGCGGCGUGUUUUUUAACAGCGGGAAAUAGGUCGUCUGGGGGUCGAAACCUGGGGGCGCGGCUGGAAAUUCGUUCGUCCUGAGGUCGAGAAUAGCGCUGGCGAAACGUUAAAAAGGCUAUCGCACGGACGCACUGGGAGCCAAACGGAUGGAGAUGCCAUUAGCUUUGGUGAGAUGCAUCCAAAUAUGCCGUUUGCUGCCUCUGUGACUAAAAGUCCAUGUUGAAUACAUCCCCAAAGGUUUGUGCUGAGGACAACAAAACAGAUGCCCAUCAAAACCAGGACCAGGAGAAUGAGAUGAGGGCAUCUCCCAUCGCAAAGCUCCGCCGGAGAUGGUAUGUUCCCAGGAUAUCCAUGCUGAUCGCAUCACCCAGCGCGCUGCGCGGCUCUCCGCCGCCGCGAAAAGACGGAGCCACCAUAAGACGACGAUUAUCGUCGUCCGCCCGACGCCGCAGCGGCUAUACCUACCUGCUGCCGGCGUGUGCACGUCGGUCGAUCUCCGGCAGGACAGGAAUCCCGAUCCAAUCUUUCUGCUCAGGGCAUCGCAUCAACUCCUUUCCUUUUUCUUGACGGCAAUCUGGACUGGUGUCUCCCUGCUCCGACGAACGGCAGGCAAAGAUCGAGCUCGAUAACCGCCGGCCGGCCGGUUUCGGUCGCAUAUGCUGAAGCUGAACCAUGCAUGAAUAUGCUACUGCCAACUUUCGCCCUCAUAAGGAGCCAACAUGGAUUCGUUUUGCAAGUGAGGUCGCCGCUGUCAGGAAUCGAAUGCCAUCCGUUUUGCAGCUACUUAAAUAGCCGUCGGUUUCUCACAAUCCAGCCAACCAAGCAGAACGAUCGACUACUGUUUGCCGCGUCCCUGCACUUGCUUAGGUCACUCACUCACUGGUCACUGCCGACCAUGGACAACUCUUCAGAUGCUCACUGCAGGUACGGUGCCCACUGCAUGCUCCAUCUUCUCCAACCAUAUUCACAUUGCACGAUCACACACACGUACUACAAAAUAUUUUUCUUCUUGCUGACCAUCGGGAAUAUAUGCUUGGGUGUGUGUACGUGCGUGCGUGCAGCCGUCACCGGUGCGCGGCGUGCUACCGUCAGUUCAACCGGAUGGAGCACCUGGUGGAGCACAUGCGAUCGUCGCACCACUCCCGCCACGAGCCCCGCUGCGGCGUCUGCGGCAAGCACUGCCGCUCCCUCGACGCGCUCCGCGACCACCUCGGCUUCGGCGCCUCGCUGCCCUCCAAGCCCGCCUGCGCCACCGCCUUCGCCGCCCGCGGCUGCCCGCUCUGCCUCGCCGUCUUCCCGACCUCCGCCGCCCUCCGCGCCCACUACGCCGCAUGCAAGCUCACCGGCGCCCCCCACCCUUCUUCGGUGCAGAGCCUCACCCGAAGCAUGUCGAGGGUGGGGGGCGUGCGAGGCGGCCGCGGAGGCGCGGUGGCGCUGGGGUGCAAGAUGGUGGGCGGCGGGAGCGACGGCACGCUGGACGUGUGCGCGCGCGUCUGCGUCGUCGACGAGCACGAGGCCGUCCUCUACGAGAGCUUCGUGAAGCCCCUCAUCGCGGUGACGCACUACCGGUACGAGACCACCGGCAUCCGCCCCGAGCACCUCCGCGACGCGCCCACGGUGAAGCAGACCAUGGCGCGGGUGCAGGACAUCCUCCUCAACGGCGACCGGUCCUACUCCUACUCUUCCUCCUCCCGCGGCGCCGCCCGGCUCCUCGUCGGCCACGGGCUGGAGCACGACCUCGACGCGCUCGGCAUGGACUGCCCGGCGCACUUCAAGCGGGACACGGCCACGUACCCGCCGCUGAUGAAGACCAGCGCCAGGAUCAUGAGCAACUCGCUGCGGUAUCUCACGCGGAGCUGCCUGGGGUAUGACAUACAGACCGGCGGCCACCAUCACCCCUACGACGACUGCGUGGCCGCCAUGAGGCUCUACAAGAGGAUGCGCGCCAUGAGGCACCUGCACCUGCACGGCCGGCCCAAGGACGGUCACGAUGAUGAGUCCACGGCCAAGGCCUUCCCGGCGUGGAGGCAGCGAGAGCUGGAGCGCAUGUCGCCGGAGGAGCUCCUCGGGAUGUCCAAGCCCGACUACCAGUGUUGGUGCCUCGACGAUGACCGGCAAUAAUACUGUCGAGAGCCGGAAUUCGAAUCUUGGUUGGCGGUUUAAUUUACUUGGUCGUGAUGAUUCAAAAUCCACGUACCUCGGAUGGAUAGCGGCCGUACCUAGCGACGACGUGGUGGUCGAAUAAAUCACAGUUUUGUUUCGUUGGUUAGGACCGAUUUUACUGCCGGGUGACCUAGGCUGAACCAGGCGCGUUGGGGUCGUCUGGAGCGCCGGGGUAAAUGUUUUUGGCGGAACCUGUCUGAGUCAGCGACUAGACGGGUUCGUCGUUCUCAUUGUCUCGUUUUUCAGCGGGGAAUCAAUGCGAAGGUUUUUGUCGAUCAUCCUAUAUUGAUUCCUCACGGACGACGUAGUGAAGGCGUCGACACGCGUCCUGCCCCCUCCCGCCACACGUACACACGGCUGUCGUCCGCUCGCUGCCCACCCGCGGCUAUAUAAGUCAUCUCUCCCUCAUCAGUGGCCACACACCUCUUGCCCCCCUUCUCCCUCUCUCGCCGUCGACGCCCCUCUCCCCCUUUCGUCGUACCACCACCAUGGCCAAGCGCUAACCCGGUGGCGGAGCGGCGACAAAUGGCUUCAGCCGCCGCCACCUCUAUGAGGUGGACUACCCGGUGCCAAUGAACAUGCGGGUGUCGGGCUCGUGAAGGCUGAGCGCCCGUGGAGUUCCGGUGUCACCACCGCCAUGUGGAGCUGACCGGCGCGCGGAGAUCGCACGCAUCCGGUCAUCGCUGUCGGAGAGCUCGCGGAACCAGCCGAGGUAUUGCCCCCGACAGCAACACGUUGUGGAUGACGUACUUCGAACGCCGCCACACCGAACCACUCGCCGCCACCAACGGUGCCGAAUCCCGCGGCCGCUUCAACACCGAGGGGCGACACCUUAUGGUGGGGCGUCCCUGGCCGCACACUGGACGCCGUCCUCGAGCACAUCGAGGACGGCAGCUCACCGCGGUUGGAGUACCCGGUGCCCCCCUCCUUCUCUUGCCGCUGCGACAGCUCAUGGACGCCGAGGCGCAUGGAGACGGCAUCCUCCUCCUCGUCCGGCUCCCGCUCCCGCACCUCCGGGUCGCCGGCACUCCUCCCCAUCAAGCCGGAGCCACGGGAGAUGCCGCUCGGGCGGCGCACGCAUAGCGGCGACCUCGUCAUUAACUAGGCCUCCUUCUCCCGCCUCGUCAAGCCGAAGGCCGAGCCAAGCGCUCCUCCCAGUGAAGAAGUAGCACGAGGCCAGGGCCGCCGACCAGGAGACUGCGCUCAAAUGGACGCAGGACGGCUAUGUUCGGGAGGAGAUGGAGCACCAGCGACGCGCCCUCGAAAAAGCGUCUAGGGCGGCCUUGGGGGCGGCAAGGAACCCGUGCCCCCCCCCCGACACACACACACCGAUUUUGUCGCUGGCGCGCCCCCAAGCGGCGCUAUUUCAUCCCCUGGGGUGCCAAAAGACUGGAGACGCUCUAAGUUACCUGAAUUUGCUUUCAACAAAAAAGUUACCUGAAUUUCAAAGAUGUGGGUCAUUUGAUUUUGUUUCAAAGGAGUCAAUUGCAAAAAACCACCAUACCUGUGGCUAGGUUUGCAAGAAACUACCAACUCGUUAAUCCGUUGCAGAAAACACUAAAAACUCUUAAGUCGUUGCGAAAAGCACUAAUCAGCCGUUUAGGCUCGUCUGGCCCCUUUUCUGACAGGUGGGCCCGGAAAACGCCGACGUGGCAUAGCGGCUGGACAGACGACGUCAUUUGGAUUAAUUGCAAGAAACCACUACAUUUGCGGCUAGGUUUGUAGAAAACAACCAACUCGUUAAUCGGUUGCAAAAAAACCGCGUUAGCAGUAAAGUCCUCGAGGGAACAGCCGCCGCAGUCCGGGCAGGCCAUGUCGGCCCUGUUGGGGAACGUCGCAUGGGAAACAAAAAAUUUCCUACGCGCACGAAGACCUAUCAUGGUGAUGUCCAUCUACGAGAGGGAAUAUUCGAUCUACGUACCCUUGUAGAUCGCACAGCAAAAGCGUUCAGAAAUGCGGUUGAUGUAGUGGAACGUCCUCACGUCCCUCGAUCCGCCCCGCGAACCGUCCCGCGAUCCGUCCCACGAUCUAGUGCUGAACGGACGGCAUCUCCGCGUUCAACACACGUACAGCUCGACGAUGAUCUCGGCCUUCCUGAUCCAGCAAGAGAGACGGAGAGGUAGAUGAGUUCUCCGGCAGCGUGACGGUGCUCCGGAGGUUGGUGGUGAUCUAAUCUCAGCACGGCUCCGCCCGAACUCCGCAGAAACGCGAUCUAGAGGUAAAACCGUGGAGAUAUGUGGUCGGGCUGCCGUGGCAAAGUUGUCUCAAAUCAGCCCUAAAACCUCUGUAUAUAUAGGUGGGAGAGGGGGGGGUCCUUGCCUUGGGGCUCAAGGAGCCCCAAGGGGGUCGGCCGAGCCAAGGGGGGGAGUCCUCCCCUUCCAAACCGAAUCCAACUAGGUUUGGAAGGAGGAGUCCUUCCCCUUUUUCCCACCUCCUCUUUUUUUUUCUUUUUUCUUUGAUUUUCUUCCUAUGGCGCAUAGGGCCUUCUUGGGCUGUCCCACCAGCCCACUAAGGGCUGGUGUGCCACCCCCAAGGCCUAUGGGCUUCCCCGGGGUGGGUUGGCCCCCCCCCCCGGUGAACACCCGGAACCCAUUCGUCAUUCCCGAUACAUUUCCGGUAACUCCGAAAACCUUCCGGUAAUCAAAUGAGGUCAUCCUAUAUAUCAAUCUUCAUUUCCGGACCAUUCCGGAAACCCUCGUGACGUCCGUGAUCUCAUCCGGGACUCCGAACAACAUUCGGUAACCAACCAUAUAACUCAAAUACGCAUAAAACAACAUCGAACCUUAAGUGUGCAGACCCUGCGGGUUCGAGAACUAUGCAGACAUGACCCGAGUGACUCCUCGGUCAAUAUCCAAUAGCGGGACCUGGAUGCCCAUAUUGGAUCCCACAUAUUCUACGAAGAUCUUAUCGUUUGAACCUCAGUGCCAAGGAUUCAUAUAAUCCCGUAUGUCAUUCCCUUUGUCCUUCGGUAUGUUACUUGCCCGAGAUUCGAUCGUCAGUAUCCGCAUACCUAUUUCAACCUCGUUUACCGGCAAGUCUCUUUACUCGUUCCGUAAUACAAGAUCCCGCAACUUACACUAAGUCACAUUGCUUGCAAGGCUUGUGUGUGAUGUUGUAUUACCGAGUGGGCCCCGAGAUACCUCGCCGUCACACGGAGUGACAAAUCCCAGUCUCGAUCCAUACUAACUCAACGAACACCUUCGGAGAUACCUGUAGAGCAUCUUUAUAGUCACCCAGUUACGUUGCGACGUUUGAUACACACAAAGCAUUCCUCCGGUGUCAGUGAGUUAUAUGAUCUCAUGGUCAUAGGAACAAAUACUUGACACGCAGAAAACAGUAGCAACAAAAUGACACGAUCAACAUGCUACGUCUAUUAGUUUGGGUCUAGUCCAUCACGUGAUUCUCCUAAUGACGUGAUCCAGUUAUCAAGCAACAACACCUUGUUCAUAAUCAGAAGACCCUGACUAUCUUUGAUCAACUGGCUAGCCAACUAGAGGCUUGCUAGGGACAGUGUUUUGUCUAUGUAUCCACACAUGUAUAUAAGUCUUUAUUCAAUACAAUUAUAGCAUGGAUAAUAAACGAUUAUCUUGAUACAGGAAUUAUAAUAAUAACUAUAUUUAUUAUUGCCUCUAGGGCAUAAUUCCAACAGUCUCCCACUUGCACUAGAGUCAAUAAUCUAGCCCUCACAUCAUCAUGCGAAUUACAUUGUAAUAAAUCUAACACCCAUACAGUUCUGGUGUUGAUCAUGCUUUGCCCGUGGAAGAGGUUUAGUGAGCGGGUCUACUACAUUUGGAUCCGUGUGCACUUUGCAUAUAUUUACGUCCUCCCCUUCGACGUAGUCGCGGAUGAGGUUGAAGCGUCGUUUGAUGUGUCUGGUCUUCUUGUGAAACCGUGGUUCCUUUGCUAAGGCAAUGGCACCCGUGUUGUCACAGAACAAGGUUAUUGGAUUCAGUGCGCUUGGCACCACUCCAAGAUCCGUCAUGAACUGCUUCAUCCAGACACCCUCCUUAGCCGCCUCCGAGGCAGCCAUAUACUCCGCUUCACAUGUAGAAUCUGCUACGACGCUUUGCUUGGAACUGCACCAGCUUACCGCACCCACAUUAAGAAUAAAUACGUAUCCGGUCUGUGACUUAGAGUCGUCCGGAUCUGUGUCAAAGCUUGCAUCGACGUAACCCUUUACGGCGAGCUCUUCGUCACCUCCAUACACGAGAAACAUCUCCUUAGUCCUUUUCAGGUACUUCAGGAUAUUCUUGACCGCCGUCCAGUGAUCCACUCCUGGAUUACUCUAGAACCUGCCUGCCAUACUUAUGGCCAGGCUAACGUCCGGUCUAGUGCACAACAUUGCAUACAUGAUAGAACCUAUGGCUGAAGCAAAGGGGACGGUGCUCAUAUGCUCUCUAUCCUCAUCAGUUGCUGGGCACUGAGUCUUACUCAAUCUCGUACCUUGUAAAACUGGCAAGCACCCUUUCUUGGACUGUUCCAUUUUGAACCUCUUCAAAACUUUAUCAAGGUAUGUGCUUUGUGAAAGUCCUAUCAGGCGUUUUGAUCUAUCACUGUAGAUCUUAAUGCCUAGAAUGUAAGCAACUUCUCCUAGGUCCUUCAUAGAGAAACUUUUAUUCAAGUACUCCUUUAUGCUCUCCAAAAACUCUACGUUGUUUCCAAUCAGCAAUAUGUCAUCCACAUAUAAUAUUAGAAACGCCACAGAGCUCCCACUCACUUUCUUGUAAAUACAAGAUUCUCCAACCACUUGUAUAAACCCAAAUGCUUUGAUCACCUCAUCAAAGCGUUUGUUCCAACUCCGAGAUGCUUGCACCAGUCCAUAAAUGGAUCGCUGGAGCUUGCACACCUUGUUAGCAUUCUUAGGAUCGAAAAAACCUUCGGGUUGCAUCAUAUACAACUCUUCCUUAAGGAAACCGUUAAGGAACGCCGUUUUGACAUCCAUCUGCCAGAUUUCAUAAUCGAAAAAUGCAGCUAUUGCUAACAUGAUUCUGAUGGACUUAAGCAUCGCUACGGGUGAGAAUGUCUCAUCGUAGUCAACUUCUUGAACUUGUGAAAAACCCUUUGCCACAAGUCGAGCUUUAUAAACGGUCACAUUGCCGUCAGCGUCCGUCUUCUUCUUAAAGAUCCAUUUGUUCUGAAUAGCCUUGUGGCCCUCAGGUAGUACUUCCAAAGUCCACACUUUGUUCUCAUACAUGGAUCCUAUCUCGGACUUCAUGGCCUCUAGCCAUUUGUUGGAAUCUGGGCCCACCAUUGCUUCUUCAUAAUUUGCAGGUUCAUUGUUGUCUAACAACAUGAUUGACAAAACGGGAUUACCGUACCACUCUGGAGCAGCGCGUGGUCUCGUCGACCUGCGUGGUUCAACAGGAACUUGAACCGGAGUUUCAUGAUCAUCAUCAUUAACUUCCUCCUCAACCGGCGUCGCAACGACAGAGGUUUCCCCUUGCCCUGCGCCACCAUCUAGAGGUUCGACAACCUCAUCAAGUUCUAUCUUCCUCCCACUCAAUUCUCUCGAGAGAAACUCCUUCUCGAGAAAAGCUCCGUUUUUAGCAACAAACACUUUGCCCUCGGAUUUGAGAUAGAAGGUGUACCCAACUGUCUCUUUUGGGUAACCUAUGAAGAUGCACUUUUCCGCUUUGGGUUCCAGCUUUUCAGGCUGAAGCUUUUUGACAUAAGCAUCACAUCCCCAAACUUUAAGAAACGACAACUUUGGCCUUUUGCCAUACCACAGUUCGUAUGGUGUCGUCUCAACGGAUUUUGAUGGUGCCCCAUUUAAAGUGAAUGCAGCUGUGUCUAAUGCAUAACCCCAAAACGAUAACGGCAAAUCGGUAAGAGACAUCAUAGAUCGCACCAUCUCUAAUAAAGUACGAUUACGACGUUCGGACACACCAUUACACUGUGGUGUUCCAGGCGGUGUCAACUAUGAAACAAUUCCACAUUGUCUUAAGUGAGCACCAAACUCGAAACUCAGAUAUUCACCCCCACGAUCAGACCGUAGGAACUUGAUCUUCUUUUUACGAUGAUUUUCAACUUCACUUUGAAAUUGCUUGAACUUUUCAAAUGUUUCAGACUUGUGCUUCGUUAAGUAGACAUAACCAUAUCUACUCAAAUCGUCAGUGAAGGUGAGAAAAUAACGAUAUCCGCCGCGUGCCUCUACGCUCAUCGGACCGCACACAUCGGUAUGUAUGAUUUCCAACAAGUCACCGGCACGCUCCAUUGUUCCGGAGAACGGAGUUUUAGUCAUCUUGCCCAUGAGGCAUGGUCCGCACGUGUCAAGUGAAUCAAAGUCAAGUGACUCCAAAAGUCCAUCGGCAUGGAGUUUCUUCAUGCGUUUUACACCAAUAUGACCUAAGCGACAGUGCCACAAAAAUAUGGCGCUAUCAUUGUUAACUCUAACUCUUUUGGUCUCAAUCUUAUGUAUAUGUGUAUCACUAUCAAGAUUCAAUAUGAACAAUCCUCUCACAUUGGGUGCAUGACCAUAAAAGAUGUUACUCAUAGAAAUAGAACAACCAUUAUUCUCUGACUUAAAAGAGUAUCCGUCUCGCAAUAAACAAGAUCCAGAUAUAAUGUUCAUGCUCAACGCAGGCACUAAAUAACAAUUAUUCAAGUUCAUAACUAAUCCUGAUGUAACUGAAGUGAAACUGUGCCGACGGCGAUUGCAUCAACCUUGGAACCAUUUCCUACGCGCAUCGUCACUUCAUCUUUCGCCUUUAGCCUUCGUCUAUUCCGCAGUUUCUGUUUCGAGUUGCAAAUAUGAGCAACAGAACCGAUAUCGAAUACCCAAGCACUACUAUGAGAGCCGGUUAAGUACACAUCAAUAACAUGUAUAUCAAAUAUACCUGAUUUUUCUUUGGCCGCCUUCUUAUCAGCCAGAUACUUGGGGCAGUUGCGCUUCCAGUGACCCAUACCCUUGCAAUAGUAGCACUCUGUUUCAGGCUUAGGUCCAGCUUUGGGUUUCUUCGUCGGAUUGGCAACAGGCUUGCCGCUCUUCUUUGAAUUACCCUUCUUGCAUUUGCCGUUUCUCUUGAAACUAGUGGUCGUAUUCACCAUCAACACUUGAUGCUCUUUACGGAGUUCAGACUCUGUGACUUUCAGCAUCGCAAACAACUCGCCGGGUGACUUGUUCAUCCCUUGCAUGUUGUAGUUCAACACAAAGCCCUUAUAGCUUGGCGGCAGUGAUUGAAGGAUUCUGUCAGUGAUAGCCUCUUGCGGGAGUUCAAUCCCCAGCUCAGCUAGACGGUUUGAGUACCCAGACAUUUUGAGCACAUGUUCACUGACAGACGAAUUCUCCUCCAUCUUGCAAGCAUAGAAUUUAUCGGAGGUCUCAUACCUCUCGAUCCGGGCAUUCUUCUGAAAGAUAAACUUCAACUCCUGGAACAUCUCAUAUGCUCCAUGACGCUCAAAGCGACGUUGAAGUCCUGGUUCUAAGCCAUACAAGACUGCACAUUGAACUACUGAGUAGUCCUCCUUACGUGUUAACCAAGCGUUCUUAACAUCCUGAUCAGCCGUAGCGGGUGGUUCAUCUCCUAGCGCAGCAUUAAGGACAUAAUCCUUCUUCCCAGCUUGUAAGAUUAGCUUAAGAUUACGAGCCCAGUCUACAAAGUUGCUUCCAUCAUCUUUCAACUUAGCUUUCUCUAGGAAUGUGUUAAAAUUCAGGGUGACUGUCGCAUGAGCCAUGAUCUACAACACAAAUAUAUUCAAAGUGGACUUAGACUAUGUUCAAGAUAAUUAGAGUUUAACUUAAUCAAUUCACUUGCUAAACUCCCACUCAAAAAGUACAUCUCUCUAGUCAUUUGAGUGGUUCAUGACCCACUUACACUAGCUCAAGUCCGAUCAUCACGUGAGUUGAGUAUAGUUUCAGUGGUAAGCAUCCGUAUGCUAAUCAUAUCAUCUAUAUGAUUCAUGAUCGACCUUUCGGUCUCAUGUGUUCCGAGGCCAUGUCUGCACAUGCUAGGCUCGUCAAGCUUAACCCGAGUGUUCCGCGUGUGCAACUGUUUUGCACCCGUUGUAUGUGAACGUUGAGUCUAUCACACCCGAUCAUCACGUGGUGUCUCGAAACGACGAACUGUAGCAACGGUGCACAGUCGGGGAGAACACAAUUUCGUCUUGAAAUUUUAGUGAGAGAUCACCUCAUAAUGCUACCGUCGUUCUAAGCAAAAUAAGGUGCAUAAAAGGAUUAACAUCACAUGCAAUUCAUAAGUGACAUGAUAUGGCCAUCAUCACGUGCUCCUUGAUCUCCAUCACCAAAGCACCGACACGAUCUUCUUGUCACCGGCGCCACACCAUGAUCUCCAUCAACGUGUCGCCAUCGGGGUUGUCGUGCUACUCAUGCUAUUACUACUAAAGCUACAUCCUAGCAAAAUAGUAAACGCAUCUGCAAGCACAAACGUUAGUUUAAAGACAACCCUAUGGCUCCUGCCGGUUGCCGUACCAUCGACGUGCAAGUCGAUAUUAUCUAUUACAACAUGAUCAUCUCAUACAUCCAAUAUAUCGCAUCAUAUCGUUGGCCAUAUCACAUCACAAGCAUACCCUGCAAAAACAAGUUAGACGUCCUCUAAUUUUGUUGUUGCAUGUUUUACGUGGUGACCAUGGGUAUCUAGUAGGAUCGCAUCUUACUUACGCAAACACCACAACGGAGAUAUAUGAAUUGCUAUUUAACCUUAUACAAGGACCUCCUCGGUCAAAUCCGAUUCAACUAAAGUUGGAGAAACUGACACUUACCGGUCAUCUUUGAGCAACGGGGUUACUCGUAGUGAUGAAACCAGUCUCUCGUAAGCGUACGAGUAAUGUUGGUCCAAGCCGCUUCAAUCCAACAAAACAGCGGAAUCAAAAAAGACUAAGGAGGGCAGCAAAACGCACAUCACCGCCCACAAAAACUUUUGUGUUCUACUCGAGAAGACAUCUACGCAUGAACCUAGCUCAUGAUGCCACUGUUGGGGAACGUCGCAUUGGAAACAAAAAAUUUCCUACGCGCAUGAAGACCUAUCAUGGUGAUGUCCAUCUACGAGAGGGGAUAUUCGAUCUACGUACCCUUGUAGAUCGCACAGCAGAAGCGUUAAGAAACGCGGUUGAUGUAGUGGAACAUCCUCACGUCCCUCGAUCCGCUCCGCGAACCGUCCCGCGAUCCGUCCCAUGAUCCAGUGCCGAACGGACGUCACCUCCGCGUUCAGCACACGUACAGCUCGACGAUGAUCUCGGCCUUCUUGAUCCAGCAAGAGAGACGGAGAGGUAGAUGAGUUAUCCGGCAGCGUGACGGCGCUCCGGAGGUUGGUGGUGAUCUAAUCUCAGCAGGGCUCCGCCCGAGCUCCGCAGAAACGCGAUCUAGAGGUAAAACCGUGGAGAUAUGUGGUCGGGCUGCCGUGGCAAAGUUGUCUCAAAUCAGCCCUAAAACCUCCGUAUAUAUAGGUGGGAGAGGGGGGCCUUGCCUUGGGGCUCAACGAGCCCCAAGGGGGUUGGCCGAGCCAAGGGGGGGAGUCCUCCCCUUCCAAACCGAAUCCAACUAGGUUUGGAAGGAGGAGUCCUUCCCCUUUUUCCCACCUCCUCUUUUUUUUCUCUUUGAUUUUCUUCCUAUGGCGCAUAGGGCCUUCUUGGGCUGUCCCACCAGCCCACUAAGGGCUGGUGCGCCACCCCCAAGGCCUAUGGGCUUCCCCGGGGUGGGUUGCCCCCCCCCCCGGUGAACACCCGGAACCCAUUCGUCAUUCUCGGUACAUUCCCGGUAACUCCGAAAACCUUCCGGUAAUCAAAUGAGGUCAUCCUACAUAUCAAUCUUCGUUUCCGGACCAUUCCGGAAACCCUCGUGACGUCCGUGAUCUCAUCCGGGACUCCGAACAACAUUUGUAACCGACCAUAUAACUCAAAUACGCAUAAAACAACAUCGAACCUUAAGUGUGCAGACCCUGCGGGUUCGAGAACUAUGCAGACAUGACCCGAGUGACUCCUCGGUCAAUAUCCAAUAGCGGGACCUGGAUGCCCAUAUUGGAUCCCACAUAUUCUACGAAGAUCUUAUCGUUUGAACCUCAGUGCCAAGGAUUCAUAUAAUCCCGUAUGUCAUUCCCUUUGUCCUUCGGUAUGUUACUUGCCCGAGAUUCGAUCGUCAGUAUCCGCAUACCUAUUUCAACCUCGUUUACCGGCAAGUCUCUUUACUCGUUCCGUAAUACAAGAUCCCGCAACUUACACUAAGUCACAUUGCUUGCAAGGCUUGUGUGUGAUGUUGUAUUACCGAGUGGGCCCCGAGAUACCUCACCGUCACACGGAGUGACAAAUCCCAGUCUUGAUCCAUACUAACUCAACGAACACCUUCGGAGAUACUUGUAGAGCAUCUUUAUAGUCACCCAGUUACGUUGCGACGUUUGAUACACACAAAGUAUUCCUCCGGUGUCAGUGAGUUAUAUGAUCUCAUGGUCAUAGGAACAAAUACUUGACACGCAGAAAACAGUAGCAACAAAAUGACACGAUCAACAUGCUACGUCUAUUAGUUUGGGUCUAGUCCAUCACGUGAUUCUCCUAAUGACGUGAUCCAGUUAUCAAGCAACAACACCUUGUUCAUAAUUAGAAGACCCUGACUAUCUUUGAUCAACUGGCUAGCCAACUAGAGGCUUGCUAGGGACAGUGUUUUGUCUAUGUAUCCACACAUGUAUAUAAGUCUUUAUUCAAUACAAUUAUAGCAUGGAUAAUAAACGAUUAUCUUGAUACAGGAAUUAUAAUAAUAACUAUAUUUAUUAUUGCCUCUAGGGCAUAAUUCCAACAGGCCCGUCUCGCGUUGACGCGGUCGUGGUUGCAUCACGUCUCCUCUAUGGAUCCCGUUGCUACUGAGCUCAACGACGGAUUUGAGUCGGUGGGAUGGCGGUGACGGGUGCCAGUGGGUAUGGCGUGGUCGGGUGCAAGGGCGACAGUUGCAUCGGGAGCAGGGGACCGGGAGCAUGGGUGAUCUUUUUUUAUUUUUAGAUCCAGGGAUGUGUGUGUGUGUGUGUAUAUUUUUGCUAAGUCACCUACUUACAAUCUGACCCCACUUGUACAAAAAGUGAUUAACCUCGCUAAAUCAUCCUAUUAGUGCUUUUUGCAACAAGUUUACUACUAGGAUGAUGUUUUUUUGUAACGGAUUAAAAAGUUGAUAGUUUUCUGCAAACCUAACCACAAAUAUGCUAGUUUCUUGCAAUUAAAACGGGGACGUUUGUCCACCCAGCAUGCCACGUUGGCGUUUUACGACCCCACUUGUCGGAAAAAAGGUCAAACGAGCCUAAACGGCCGAUCAGUGUUUUUUGCAACUACUUAAGAGAUUUUUUUAUGUUCUCCGCAAUGGGUUAACAAGUUGGUAGUUUCCUGCAAACCUAGCCACAAAUAUAGUUACUUUUUGCAAUUGACUCGUUUGAAAGGCUCUGAUGGAGGCACCCAAGCUGCCGCCGCCGCCUAAGCGAGCGAAGCGAGGCAUGGGAGGAAAGAGGCGUAGCUGCGGCAAGCCGACAAUGGCGGGUUAGAAGAUUAUAACAGGUUUGGGUAUAGGGCUGCCCACAUCAAAACCAAAUGUUGAUGGGUCUUGAAGGGAAGACCCUCGGAUGAUCAAAUCCUACAAGGAUACAACGUAAAGACCUUGGGCGAUCAAAUUCAACAUGGAUUCAACCCCGCCACAGGGCCUAACUAGCACCACGUGGCGGGCCAGUAGCCCACCACAUGUCGUCCAGGCAGCAACCACUCUAUCCAAAUGUCGGUGCAGCAGACAUACACGAGCAAGACUCGACCAUCCAGAUCCGGCCAGGGAGAAAUCUCCAAGGCCUCCUGCCACCCAAACCCUAGAUCCCACCCAGCACUUGUCACCGAAGCCAAGCACGCCAUCACCUCAAGUUAUCGGCCACCCAACUCUGAGCCAACGGUUGCCCCGCGCGCCGCGACAUCGUGGCAGCUACGCCCGCUAAUCUAUAGUGCACACUACCGAGCCACAAUGGCUGCUCCGCCCCCUUUACCAACCUCAUCUUUCGUAGAGAAAGGCCGCCAUCCCGGUGCAACUUGCAAGCCGUCCACCCGCUGACAAACAGCUGCAACGAAAAAGGCCUGCGAGAAAAAUUGCGCCAACCCUUUCAAAUAAAAUAAAAUAUGCCAAGGCAAGUAGGGAAGAGCAAUCCCCAUUGCCAUCGUCACGAGGCCAAGAUUUGUUGAAGCUGACCAUCAGCAUCGACGAGGAGGGGGGAGACGCUAGAGUUCAGUAAUGAAAUGUGUAUUAUGUGAUGCAAAUAUCUUGAAACGAGUUUUUAUGCGUUGAAAGAUGUAAACAUCAUUGACACUUUGCGCUCCCAUUGAACGACACACUCGAUUGGAGCACAUUCCGCGUUGGCGGUGCUGGAGAAAGACGUGCGGAAGCUAAAAGAAGUCCUGCACACGGAGCCAGUCAAGUAUGACAUCUUCCAUAUGAUGGUGUCCAUAGUUUGGUUUUAGCAGCAUGAACUACGACAGUAGGCGAGUAGCAAUGUAGCACUCGCUCAUCAUCCACCUUCGUGUAAGAUCUUUGGUCUGAACUCUGAAGGAAGGAAGGAGCGGAUACAGUAUUGUAAACUGACCUGGAAUAGACUAGUCGAAGUGCAAAUUUAUUCUUGACUUGGCAAGAAAAGGGGGAGAAAAGAUAUGUGCUCCUGACAUUGUUGAACAUGGCAAUAGUACAUUGGCAUGUGUGUACGACGAAUGGACUGACACAUGUAGAAAGAUCCCUGACGUUAUUACUGAUCUUUCACUAAGAUUUUCAUAACUGAACCACGAUUUUACAGUCCAGUACUACAACUACUAACUGAGAUCUAGGUAAUGCUUGACAGUACAGUGUACUACAAUAUUACGAGGACAGUUCUUCAGCAAACAUCAAUCCGUCGUAGUCUAGGUGGUUAGGAUACUCGGCUCUCACCCGAGAGACCCGGGUUCAAGUCCCGGCGACGGAAAGUUUUUCCUGUUUUUUUUUUUCGUUUUUUUUCGCUUUUAUUUUGCUGUAUUUGGUGAAUCAUAUCCAUACAUUUACAAUACCAAAAACUGAUCUCCUCAUUUCCAUCCAUCCAGAUGACCAAAGAUGAAACAUGUAAAACCCACAUAUAUACGAUACAUUGGUACAAACUUUACAAUUCACUUGUAUUUUGUAGCAUCAUGACAAUACCAAAACAUUUCAUCUAAAGCCCCGCUUGGAAUAGGGUUACAUUUAUACACCUGUAUUACUUUUACAAAUGUAUAUUACCGACCACGUGUGAUUUUUAACCGAAAAUGAAAAAGACUGAUUGAGGUUUGUAUUUUUUAUAGGUGUAAAAGUGUGAGAAACGGUAAUCCAAUCAGGCCUUAAGUUAAGAAAGGAAAGACCACCGCCAAGAAAAAUAAAAGGGCUCUUGCUAGGCGUUUGAAGUGUUGAGAGCAGUCAGCCCUUUCCUGCCUGACAAAUGUACUUAAUUUUUCUGGUUCGGCAACUGCCCUUUUUACCCUGGCCCAAUGUGGCCAGUCCAUUAUUUUGCAUGUGCCAUUUUUUGGCAGGCUUUCCGUCUUGCCAUGCUUCUAGAGUAGAUGUUUGUGAUAAUUGGGUUCGGUUGAACGAUGUUGCUUAUUUCAUGGGUUCUAGAGUGUUGAAAGGUUAGUCAUCGCCGUUUUUUCGUGUGUUUCCCGUAACUCACGUUAUUUCCAUAAACUACCUCUCCAUCGUGAUAUUUCUCUCGAGACUCUUACCUCUCCUCGCGAUCUCCUUGCGUAUCCUGACCAAUUUCUUUCCAUAAUUUUGUUUUCUCUCUCGAUUCCCUGUAGGUGAGGCCGUGAGAGGAGGCGGUGUUGGUCCGCGGCCUUCAGUACGAGGGCACCGUCGUGGGCAGGUCCUAGAAUAUGCACGCCUUAGGCUACCGCUGUCUGACGGCGGUUGGGCUCCGCUUCAUCCGUAUGAAGGACAACGUUGGGAGACCCCUACAUCCUCUUGUAUGGGUGGAUGAGGGGUAGACUUACAUGGGCACAAGUCAGUUUACACGGCUUGUUACCUAAGUCGAUCCAUGACCAACCUUUUCAUCCAACCAUGGUAUCUAUAGAUCCAUGGCCCACCUCUUCUUCCGAUGGGCUUAAAGAUACCAUUCGCCAAAAAAACGAGGAAAAAAAACUCUGAAGGUCCAGAGAAUUUUGGACAGAUGGAGUGAUACGUAAUGGUUGAGGGACUAAAACGUAAAGCGGAAAAUAGAGAGUGGAGUGGGUGGGGGCACUGCCGCACUGGGCAACGGUAGGGGGGGUCGGGACUCGUGAAGGCCGCCGCAGUAGAAAUUCCCCAUUUCUUCCCGUCAAAUCCCUAGAACCCAAACCCCUCGAUCCAGAUCGCGGCAGAUCCGUGCAGCGGCAGCAGGCGGGGAGGAGGAGGAGGAGAUGGAGCAUCACCACCCGCCGCCGCUCCCGCAGCAGCACGGCGACCAGUACCGGCCGCUGGUGCUCUCCCCGCAGCCCGACCACGCCCACGCCCUUCUGUACCAGCCGCCGCAGCAGGCGACGCCGCCGCCGCCUCAGCAGCACCACCACCCCUCGCUCGCCUCCCAUUUCCACCUCCUCCACGUAAGUGGCGAUCCAAUUCUUCAGAAAGCCAGCAUGUUUUUCUUCUGGCACGGACCUUGUGUCGAGCCAGUUGGGAUCCGUUGCUGGCCAUUUUUUGAUGUAGCAUUAGUUAACCAUCCGUUUUUGGUUUGCCGUCUCAAGUUUAGUUUGAAGAUUGUAUCGUUACCGUGCAGAUUUGUUCUUUUGUCAAGCAUACUAGAAAUGAUCCGAGAAUUAUUCUUCAACAGUAGCAAUAAUAGGAUGGUAUGUCGUCCUUUUACAGUUACACAGAAGUGUGUUCUUGUUCCUCUUAAAACAAAUAUGCAUGCCGUUGAUUCUGUAUCAUUAGUCGAUUCAUGGCAUGAGUUUACGGUUUCCUUAAACGUACCUCGUGUAUGGAAAGCCAACCGGCAUCGAGUCGGAAACAUAUUUAAGCAAGCACUGCUAUGGAUACAAGUUUUCUUGGCACAUUUAACUGGAAAAAUAUUUAGUUGUAUGAUAUGAUUGCAAAAUGACACUGCAAACAGAAGCAAUCCUCUGUACCAAGUACCUACUGCAAAUGUUUGUUUGUCUGAACGGUGAACACCAAAUGGACCUGCGGCAACCCCUGCUAAGUCGUGAUCCUGGUAGCAAUAUCUGAUCGUGGAUCACCUGAGAUCCCAUUUUCCAGACACUAAUUUGGGAAAUGGUGAAACUAAAUCAUUUAUUCGACAAAAUAAAGCAACCUACAGACGUAUGUGGGGUGGGGAUGCUUACUACUUGGCUAUGCUGUCACGGCUGCAGUAUGGCCAUGUCCGCUGCAGCAACAUGGUUUGUGUGUUACCAUUCCAGGAAUCACUUAUAAAGCAUCUAGCUUGGAACAAAUUGGAAUAUAGUUAAUUUCUGUUUAAAUAGAAGGUCUUGAUACUGUCAAUGUCAUAUCAAGGCAGAUUUGCGAUUGGCCAACCAUAGGUGCUGGCAGUGUGAGAGUAGAGGGACUAUGUUGAAGAAUAUAACUGUGGGGCUGUAACGAUGGAAUAGAAAAGGCAAUGCUUAGGUUAACCAGGGGAAACACAAUUUUGAAGCUAAGCCUAUUAAAUGAGAAUAUCAUGGUGUCAUUAUAGAACUUUGUUAAGCCGGUGAUAACAUUUUGCGACUAUCACAUUUUGUAGUUGCAUCAAGAAAUGAGGCUUGCUUUCUUUGCAUUAUCGUUUGACAGCCAAGGUUUUUUUUGUGCCUUCCUUUUUUUUACCGGGGCCCACCGGUAAAACCAAUUCCCAAAAAUACCAGAAAUCUCAGUGUUUAACCCCCUGAAAAAUUAUAAGGAAAUUUGAAUUAUUAUUUUUUAGUAAUGGAGUAAAUACAUUUAUACCCUAUAUAAAACUGAAACAAAGCGGUGGUGAGAUGGUCGGCACGGAACCCGCUUAAGCCGAGCUCUUGAGUUCGAUUCCUCGGAGCUGCUUUUCAGUUUUGCCUUCUUUUCCCUCCCUCGGUUGGGCCCUCAUUGCAUUGAUAGUUAAAAAACCUGGCAAAAAAUCGGAGGCGUGGCAAUUUGGCCCCGUGACCACCAUGGACACCCGCGGCUUGCACGAUACUGCAUAUCACUCUAACACUCGCCUGAUUAUGUUAAUAUUGGCAUCCUUAGUAAUACUGGUUCCAUUUUUUUAAGUUCAAAUUUAAAUUUGUCCGAAUUUUUCCGGCCGGUAACUGUGUUUCUGGAGGGGGUUACCGAAAACCGGGCCGAGAGAAAAAGCCUUGUUUUAAACUAGCACAUCUUAGCAAUAAAGCUAACCAUCAUUUUCCUAUCUUUGUUAAAGUACUAAGCAGUAUGGGUGAUGUUUUUUUUUCUUGUUACAUCAGUUGGUGACAAGAUUAGGUGAUGCGAUUGCAACAGGCACAAGGGAUCAAGCUUUUGAUGCAUUGGUAAGAAUUUCGUAUAAUCUCUUAUUUUCUUUUGUUGAAGAAAUAAUGAUGGGAUAAUGGUAGUAUGGUAGAUGACUGCUUCUGGUCUAAGAAAAGUUACAUAUUAAGUUCGUUUAAUAUGAAAAAGUAAUACAAUAAAAUUAAACUAUUUAACUCCAGAGAUUCGAGGAUGUUUUGGUCUCAUACUUAUCUGUGCCAAGCUAAUAAACUAUACUAUCUUCGUAUUGAAUUGUCUUUUAUAGAAUUUUGAAGCCUGAGAUAUGAUUACUCAGAGCAUGGUAGUCUAGUAACCUGGGUUGUUUUAUUUGUUUAUGCAGGUUGAAGAAUUGACCAGUCAAUUCGCCAGGAGCCAACAGUUAUUGAACUCCAUUUCAGGAACACUAAGCUCGAAAUCUGUUGUAAGUUUCUACACAUGACUUCAUAUGUAGUAGCUUUUCUUAUAAUUAUAACAAUAAUUUAGUGUGAUGAUAGAAAUACAAUGUUGUUUCAAGUUUCAACUAGGUGGCAUGUUACUUUUGUCUAAUCUAGUCAGGCUUAACUGCAGGGGUCACAUGCUAGACAGGUUAGUUUGGUUGCACAUAUAAUAUGCGAUAUAUGAAUAUUGGGGCCCAUUUGCAAAAUUACCAAAAUGCACCAAUAGUUCUAAAAGUGUUAAGCCUGGUAGCUUGAAAGUUGAAACACUAGCAGAUUGGUUGAGCAGCUUAGUCGUACCCUGGUCUUUUCUUUCUCUCCUGAAAGGACCAGUAACCUGAUAUUUUAAGCCAAAUACUGUAUUUGUUAUAAAAUGAAGCUAUUUCAAGUUUAGAGCUCACUCACAUCAAAAUAGAUGCCCUUUUAGAGUUGGGCACAGGAUUUAAGAGUGUGUGAAAUGUUGAUGUUGGCUAUCUCUUUCCCAUCCCAAGGGCAUUAAAUUACCUCUUUUUUCCUACGCAAAGCAAAGCAUGCAAAUGCAACGACAGGAGGAAUUAGUUAGCUAUUUUCUUGAUGACAUUGACGAAGGGCAAAGUAGGAACACGGCUAAAACUAAAUUGUAAGGGUAAAAGAAUGAAAAAAAUUGAAGAGGCUGAACGGACAUCCAUUUGAUAUGGAGUGAGUAUUAUUUUAGUUGCAUUAAUGUACUCUAGACAUCUAGUCACAGUUACGAGAGUAACUUGCACACUAGGCGAUCUGCUAUUUUUGUUUUCUUUGAAGUAUAAUCUGCCAAUAUUAAAUUGUUAAUAUUUGGUGGAUAUUCAAUAACUACGGAGGUAAUAUCCAUAUUUGUGAUAAUUGACUCUCAUUGACAAUGCACACCUAGUUCGAAAAAUGUUCCCAAGAAGUUAAUAGGUUUCCAUUAUAAAUUUGGGGAUUUCUACAUAACUUCCUGCCUGGUUAUGGAUUUAGCGACAGCUCUAUCUAGGACUUUUUGGCUGGUUUAUCUUUGUAUCAGCUAAUAACUUUAAGGAGAAAUAUUCAGUUCUCAUUAUUCUGACCAUUGUUAUCUUGCUAAUGACGUGUGUAAAUCUAGGUGCUUUUGCGGUGUGAAAGAUGACAUAAUUCUUAUGGGUCUACACUCUACACCAGUGAAUCCUGUCCAAGCACUUAGAGUAGUGACCAGCCAGUCACUUAAAAGUACUGACCAGCUAAUGCCACUGAUAGUUCCAAUCCUAAGCCUCGAUUCUCACGGAAAGUGUUUCCUUUUGUUGCCAACAGACGGUUGAAGGACAAAUGCAAAGUUUGGAAGAAACACGACAGCUGCUUGAUCAAAGAAAGUAAGUGCUCAGUAAGCGCUCCAUUUAUCGACGCAACGUGCCAACAAUUUUUGUGAUCCAGCAGAGUUUUAUGCUAACCAUUGCCAUGUUCACCAGGGAUUUGAUGGCAAAAUACAAGACCUCAGUGGAAGACCUCCUUAAGGGUGAUCCAACAAGAUAGAAACGAUCUGUCAGCCGGACCCUUCGAACAUUGAUUAUGAUGGAGCUCGUUGCCACCACCGCCUGAAAUAAAAUUCCCAAUGGACGUGUCUUAUCAUGUAAAAAUGCUUGGAGUAGUCCAUGCAGAAGGGACAUGUAAUUUCGAAGUGGUGGUUACAAUGCUGCACUUGCGCGUUGGGUGCGUGUAUUCUGAGUUUUAGGCCAUGGUCCAUUUCCAUAAUCGCAUUACGCUGAAAUGGGCGAUGUGAACUUGUUUGAUGUCUAUCGGCAUGACAAUAAUGUGAGAACCCAAGAUCAGUUAGAUAACAAUCUUUGCUCAAAAAAGUUUGGCAUAAUAAUUUGGUGACAAGUCAUCGACAAUCGCAGAGGGGCAACUCUAGAAGGUUCCCCCAAACAGCCNNNNNNNNNNNNNNNNNNNNNNNNNNNNNNNNNNNNNNNNNNNNNNNNNNNNNNNNNNNNNNNNNNNNNNNNNNNNNNNNNNNNNNNNNNNNNNNNNNNNNGUUGAUAGGGCUACGACAAAAACUGGAUGCACUUCGUGUACAAAACGGACAAUCUCCCUCGAAGUAUCAGGGUUUCGAACGACAACUCAUCUCUUAUAAAGGGAUUUCAUUUUUUUUGAACUUAUUUGAACUCCAUACUUUUUGUGUGUUCAAAAUGCACCAUUCAAAGGCACAUCACAAAAUUUCAACAAUUUCUGACUUGAUUUGGUAUAUUUCGUGCAUUUACUUAUUUUUUUGAGCUAGUUGACCCUGAAAUUGAAAAGCACUACAAAUGAACUCUGAAAAUGUUGAAAGUUGGCAUGCUAUCAUCAUUUCACCCACAUAGCAUGUGUUAAAAAGUUGAGAGGAAUACGACAAAAACUGGAUGCACUUCGUGUACAAAACGGACAAUCUCUCUCGAAGUAUCAGGGUUUCGAACGAGAACUCAUCUCUUACAAAGGGAUUUCAAUUUUUUGAACUUAUUGGAACUCCAUACUUUUUGUGUGUUCAAAAUGCACCAUUCAAAGGCACAUCACAAAAUUUCAACAAUUUCUGACUUCAUUUGGUAUUCUUCGUGCAUUUACCUUUUUUGAGCUAGUUGACCUUGAAAUUGAAAAGCACUACAUAUGAACUCUGAAAAUGUUGAAAGUUGGCAUGCUAUCAUAAUUUCACCCACAUAGCAUGUGUUAAAAAGUUGAGAGGGCUACGGCAAAAACUAGAUGCACUUCGUGAACAAAACGGACAAUCUCUCUCGAGGUAUUAGGGUUUCGAACGAGAACUCAUCUCGUAAAAAGGGAUUUNNNNNNNNNNNNNNNNNNNNNNNNNNNNNNNNNNNNNNNNNNNNNNNNNNNNNNNNNNNNNNNNNNNNNNNNNNNNNNNNNNNNNNNNNNNNNNNNNNNNCAGGAGUUUCUUUAGUCCCGGUUGGUCACACCAACCGGGAAAACAUGACAUCCACGCGUCAGCAUGUGCCGAGAGCGUGGGGUUUUUUUUAUGGGAGGGGGUGUUGGAGGGUUAAUUUAGUGGUUUCACAUUGUGUUAGCUAGCUAAUAGAGAGAAGUGUCCUCUCUUUCUUCGUGCUUGGUCGACGCUAGCUACUAUACAUAUAGAGAGAACAUGAUGCUAACUAAUAAGAAAAUGAAGGAAACCAUUUAGAAUACUUAACAUCUUUUACAAUACCUAACGUCAUCUACCUAAGAUCCAAUCACAAAUAGUCCACAUGGUAUUCUCCGUCACUAGAUAUGACGUGGUCAAGAAGGAAUCCUGUCAAUUCCUCUUUAAUUGCUCGUAUGCCAUCAUCUGAUAGGGCUUUAUCCCGCUUCUUCCAGAUCUAAUUUAAAGAAGGGGGUCAAUACAUGCAUAUAUAUGAAUAAAACUCAACACAAUUGAUGCUAAUAUAUAAAAUAAAAUUGUGAAUAUUAUUUACGUAUUUCAAAUUGUUCGUGAGAGAUGCCCCGUCCAGAGGUCGAGAGGCGAAUGAACUCGCAUACGUAGAAUGCACAUUUUUCAGUCCCACCUACCUGGUACAAGCACUUUACGAGAAUAUAUAGAGUUUAAUCAAACUGAUAAGCAAGUAUGGUAAUGAUAUAUUGAUGAAAAUCUGAAUCAAUUAGAGAUGCGCGGAACUAGCUAGCUAGUACUACUUACUGGGGGUGCGUAAAUUGUAACUCUUUGGGUAUACCGCGAACCUUAUUGGUGAACUUCUUCCGAAUCCUGCGAGGCAAAGAAAAUGAUUACUUGAUAUCAGAAAAUUAACGAAAGUUGCAUGCCGGUAUGGUCCCGGUAUUGAGUGAACUUACUUCUUGAGCAUUGAAGUCAUGUCCGCAUAAUCCUCGGGAUCUCUACGUCUCGACUCUCGAGUCUAAGACACGUACUUUUCCCGCGUCAAGCUUAAUGGUUAGCAGAAUCCAGUGGUAACUGUACACACAUAUAUAACUCAUCAAUUACAUUUACUAAUUAACCUCGAGUAAGCGAAACCGAGUAUACAGAGAAGACAUCAACACUCACUUGAAGUUAUAAGAAAAAAGUAUUUCCCUUUUGUUUUGAUUUACAAGCAACGAAUUUAGGAACUUAACCUCGAUCUCUUUGGUUUCAUUUCGUAUCGACAAUACAUUUACCGAUUCUGGGCUAAUGAACCCAAUGUCGAAGAUUCCUGCUUUUUUUAAUUCGACGAUCUUCAAUCUGCAUAAUAUGUAUAGUGAGGAUAAUUAUAGAUACAUGCAAUGAACGAGCUGAGCUAGAGACUUAACUAUAGAAGUAAUACUUACAAACAGUACGAAGUCAUGAGUUGUUUGUCGAGGGCCAGGUCAUUGUAUAACUGAAGUAACUCCUCAAAUUCAACAAGCACCACUGAAGCUCCAAUGAAUUUGUGAUCUUUGUUCACUCUCAUAUACACAACCGUUUUCUCCCUGAAGAUGUUCAUGUACCACUCAUGCAAUUCGUGCAUCCUCGGUGUUAGAGAAGGAUGACCAGGUUUGACGAGAGGCUCCCCGAGCACGAAUUUAUAUUGUUCUUCAUUUAUUACCUCAGCCAUCUUAAAAAAUAUUGAAUCGCUCACGUCAUCACCAGGAUUGGUACCGGGCAGCAACCCCGAAUCAUUAGCGACGAUGAUAUUGCUAGACACUUUGAGCGGGGGCACGAUUGCUUCUUCUGUUCGCCGAGCUGGGGAAUUGUUUUCCCACUUCUUCGUUUUGCUAACAUUGCGUCACUGCUAGCCUCCAGAGCGGCGGCGGAGUGUGUCUUCCGCUUGAGAGAAGGAGGAGGAGGAGGCAUCUUUCUUACUUGUGUAAUUUUUGGCGAAGCGGUGACAAAGUAUGUCUUCCGCCGUUGCGGAGGAGGUAGACUGCUCGGACGCUCCUGAGGAGGAGCCGGAGGAGGAGGACUGCUGUGACGCGCUGGAGGAGGAGCCGAAGAAGGAGGCGGAGUGCUCCGGCGCGCCGGAGGAGGAGCCGAAGAAGGAGGCGGACUGCUCCGACGCGUUGGAGGAGGAGCUGAAGAAGGAGGCGGAGUGCUCCAACGCGCUGGAGGAUCAGGAGCCGUAGGAGGAUGACUGCUUCGACGCGCUGGAGGAGGAGCCGAAGAAGGAGGCGGAGUGCUCCGACACGCCGGAGGAGGAGCCGAAGAUGGAGGCGGACUGCUCCGACGGGCCGGAGGAGGAGUCGAAGAAGGAGGCGGAGUGCCCUCACACGCCGGAGACGAAGAAGAAGGCGGAGUGCCCUCACGCGUCGGAGUAGCCGGAGUGCCCUGAUCAUUUGCCGGAGGAGGAUGAGGAGUGCCCUGAUCAGUCAUCGGAGGAGGAUGAGGAGUGCCCAGAUCACACGCCGGAGGAGGAGGAGGAGGCGUCCAGUUUGGAAGAUUGAUGUACUCCUUCGGCCAUAGACAUGAACUCCUCAAAACAUGAACCAGCUUAUUAUUCUAAUCUUCACCUGUAGGGUGGUCAAGCUCGAGCUGCUCAAAAUCCUUAUUUACUUCAUCCACCAUCACAAGAGCAUAAUCACGUGGACUCGGACGACGGUGAAAAGUUAUGUUGGAUUGAGGAUGUGCAACAAUGCCGAUAGCAGCCUUGAAAGUGAGGUUCCGACAUUUCGUCAAAAGCUCGCAAGGUUGAGAAUCCGUGAUAGUAUCCACGGGGUAGCUAGGAGCCGUGAAGUCAGGCUGAACGAGCUCCGUGGAAGCCACGCUGCUUCUCCGCUGAGAUGGCGGAGUAAAUUCUGGGGUAGUUUCGUGCCGCUGAGAUGGUUGGUCGACAGCUUGCUGGCUGUGUCGUUCCUCUAGAAUUUAUAGUCUUGCAUUGAUCUUCUUCAUGUCGCUCAGCUCCGCUUUCCUCUUUCUCUCGCGGCUCCUGUAACCGGUUGCACCGGGAAACCCAACCUUCCACGGAACGUAGCCUGGUGUGCCUCAUGUUCGUCCAGGGUGCUCAACAUUCCCUAGGUCCUCGGUCUUCGUCCUUCUCUCUUUCGGGAAAGAACGCCCCUUCCUGCACUGCGGUGAUACACUGCUGAAGCUUGUUGAUGGGUGUUGCAAGUUGCUCGCCCGUCCAACAACACUCGCCUGUAUCAGGGUCCAAAGUUCCCCCAACUCUGAAGAACCAAUUCCUUGAACGGUCGGGCCAGUUCCAUGUCUGUGGUUGGACCCCUUUAGCAAUCAGGUUUUUCUCAUCUUUGUCCCACAACGGACGGCCUUUGAGGUAGCCACCUGACCCCGUGUGAUGGUGAUACUGCUUCUUUGCAGCACUGUUCGUGUUUCUCUCUGACAUUUCCUUACUCUUGUCCGAUGACUUGUAGGCCACAAAUGCGGGCCAUUGAUCUCUAAUCUUCGCAAAUCGGCCGACGAAUUCUGGAGUCUUCCCUUUGCCGACAUACUUUAAUUUCAACUCUUUCUUCCACCUCCUGAAUAGUUUUGCCAUCUUCUUAAGUGCACACACCUUGACCAAUGGCUCUAUAACUGGCUUAUUAGGAUCCUCCUUUGGCGGUAAGGUGAAAUUUUCCUUCAACGCGGUCCAAAGAUCAUCUUUCAGCCUAUCGGUGACAUAAUCACCGUUAGGUACGUUGUCGCCCUUAGGCUUAUUCCAUUGCUUGAUGCUGAUCGGGAUGUUGUCCCUGACAAUAGCUCCGCACUGAGUAGAAAAUGCGUCCCUGGUCCGCUUGGGUUCAAUCGGUUGGCCAUCGUCCGAUAGUUCUGUGAUCGUGAACUUUUGACCCUUGCCCAACCUUUUCCUCGGGCCUCGUCUCGUUACCGAAGUUUGGCUCGAUCUGGACUUUUCAAUAGCUCCCUCCUCCAUUCGGUCACUGGAGCCGUCAUCAUGGUCUCCAUACUCCGGGAUUCGGUAGUCACCGAAGCCAUCAUGAUAAUGUCCUUCCUCCGGGAUUUGGUAGUCACCGAGUUCGCUGAGCAAAAGUCGAUACUACCGUCGUCGUGGAUUAUAUCCCCCAAAAUUUCUUCUUUUUCCAUGUCUCUUGAAAUAUCCAUUGUUUCUGCAAAUAUUUCAAAGUGGAGGAAGCCCUUUAUACAUAAUCCAAAAUAUUAACAUAAAAACUUAAUUUAUAACUUAAUCUAAAUCUAAAUAUUUUUUUAGAAUAAUUUUUAUAACUUUAUUUUCUAUUGAAAUUGAAUCUAGUCUAAAUAUUUUUAUAAUUUUUAUAACUUGUAUCACAUUUGGGAGUUCAAAAAUGUACCCAACAUAUUCUAAUAUGACUGUCAUACACACACAUGGAUUCACAAUUAGACUACGUCUUCGAACACACAUGGAUUCGCAAAUAGUGAGAUGGAGAGAUCGAUGGACGUGCUACUGGUGCGUCCACGGGCGACGACGGUGGGCUUCGGAACGAUGACGGGUGACGGGCGACGACGGCGGCGGCGAUGGGCUCGAGGGCGACGACGGCGACGACGACGACGACGACGAUGGGCUCAGGGGCGACGGCAACGACGAGCGGCGACGGGCGACGGCGACGACGUGCGGCGACGGACGACGAAGACGAAGGCGAUGGGCUCGGGGACAACGGCGACGACGACGACGACGACGGGCUCGGGAUCGAUGGCGACGGUGAUGGGCUCAGGGUGAUGAUGGGCUCAUGAGCAACGGCGAUGGUGAUGCGGGCUUGUGGAGAAGGCGUGGGCCGGCGGGGGCGGGCUCGGGUGCGACGGCGAUGAAGAGAGAACGAGGGGAAUGGAAGUUGGUGGAAAUUUCCACAACUCCCACAAUAUACGAACACCUUUGUUCCAGUUGGUGGCCCAAACCGGGACCAAAGCACACCUUUAGUCCCGGGUUGUUACACCAACCGGGACUAAAGGUCAAUUUCGACAACCCCGCACUAUAUGCAAAACUUUUCGUUUCGGUUUGUGACACCAACCGGGACCAAAGCCACACUUUCGCUGGCCCAAAAGGGCGGGAAGAAGAUUACUUUCGUACCGGUUGGUGGCUAUAACUGGGACAAAAGGUUCGUCGGCCCAUUUGAUAUUUUUCAUACAUUUACUGAUUUUUGCUUUGAGCUAAAUGACCCUUAAAUUGAAAAGCACUACAAAUGAACUCUGAAAAUGUUCAAAGUUGGCAUGGUAUAAUCAUUUCACGCACAUAGCAUGUGCUAAAAAGUUGAGAGGAUUGCCGCAAAAACUGGAUGCACAUCGUGUACAAAACAGACAAACUCUUUCGAAGUAUGGGGGUUUCAUACGAGAACUCAUUUGUUAUAAAGGGGUUUCAUUUUUUAACUUAUUUGAACUCAAGACUUUUUGUGUGUUCAAAAUGCACCGUUCAAAGAUACAUCAUCAAUUUUCAAGUAUUUCUGACUUCAUUUGGUAUUUUUCAUGCAUUUACUGAUUUUUUAAGCUAAAUGACCCUUAAAUUGAAAAGCACUACAAAUGAACUCUGAAAAUGUUGAAAGUUGGCAUGGUAUAAUCAUUUCACCCACAUAGCAUGUGAMUAAAAAAUUGAGAGGGUUGCGGACAAAAACUUGAUGCACUUCGUGUACAAAACGGACAAUCUCUUUCAAAGUAUCAGGGUUUCAUACGAGAACUCGUCUGUUACAAAAGGGGGUUCAUUUUAUUGUAACUUAUUUGAACUCAAGACUUUUUGUGUUCAAAAUGCACCAUUCAAAGACACAUCAUCAAUUUUCAACUAUUUCUGACUUCAUUUGGUAUUUUUCAUGCAUUUACUGAGUUUUUAAGCUAGAUGACCCUUAAAUUGAAAAGCACUACAAAUGAACUCUGAAAAUGUUGAAAGUUGGCAUUGGUAUCAUUAUUUCACCCACAUAGCAUGUGCUAAAAAAUUGAGAGGGUUGCGGCAAAAACUGGAUACACUUCAUGUACAAAAGAGACAAUUUCUUUCGAAAUAUCAGGGUUUCAUACGACAACUCAUCUAUUACAGAGGGGUUGUCWWUUUUUUANNNNNNNNNNNNNNNNNNNNNNNNNNNNNNNNNNNNNNNNNNNNNNNNNNNNNNNNNNNNNNNNNNNNNNNNNNNNNNNNNNNNNNNNNNNNNNNNNNNNUAUAUAAACUGAGCAAUAAAUAAACCUUGCUAGGCCAGGUCGGGAAGUUAGAUGGACUGGUCAGGUGUAUAUAAACAUGUACGUGGUGUAUAUAAACCGAGCAAAAAAUAAACCUUGCUCAGAUUGUCUCCAGUCAAAAAAUUAUUUUGAACCAAUAACCAGACAGGCACCAAGUAUGCCAAACUUAGCUCCUUUGAUUUGAUCCAUCCAAUAUGCCGUUGUUGUGCUCACCCAGAAACGUUUCGGAAUCUAUUCAACAUGGAUUCUCAGUCAAAUUAACCAGAAUUAGGACCCCCGAAAGCAAAUCAAAUCAAAAGCUCAUCUGGCUGGAGAGGGUACGUUCAUAGGAUAUCCAUGCAGAACCCGUCACCCUUGGCGCUCUGCGCGGCUCUCCGCCACCGCCGAAAGACGGAUGAUGAUCGUCGUCCGCCCGACGCCGCAGCGGCUAUACCUACCUGCGCCGCGUGGGCACGUCGGUCGAUCUCCGGCCGGAAUCCCAACCCAAUCUUUCCGUCCGCAGCAUCCAUCUGCCGGGUCUUGCUUUUUCAAACCGGAUAUUUUGACCACGGCAUCUAUCUCAUCAUCUCUUUUUUUUUUCUUCUGCAAAUAGAGAGCAUGUUGAGGCCAUUCUGGUGUCUAAUAUAUGUUCUUUCUUCUCUCUCUGAGCGUGCUAUAGCUAGUAGUAGUAGCUGGUAUCCUCAAGACCUGAACCAUGAAUAUGCGAGUAUCCUGAGCAGUGAAGGAAUUUACUAGCUUAGCUGGGCCCGUAGCCGCUGGCGACGCUAUCAGGAAUCGAAUGCCAUCCGUUUUGCAGCUACUUAAAUAGCCGUCCGUUUCUUUACAGCCCAACCAACCAACCAAAAGCACAACCGUCUACUGUUUGCCGCGUCUCUGCACUUGCUCUCACUGGUCACUUGCCGACCAUGGACAACUCUUCAGAUGCUCACAGGUAUGGUGCCCACUGCUCCAUCUUCAUUGUUUUCUCUUUGUACGUGACUACGUGUGCAUGCCACAUUGCACACCAUAUAUACGUUUUCUUCUUGCUGACGAGGAGUUGUUGGGUGUGCAGCUGUCACCGGUGCGCGGCGUGCUACCGUCAGUUCAACCGGAUGGAGCACCUGGUGGAGCACAUGCGAUCGUCGCACCACUCCCGCCACGAGCCCCGCUGCGGCGUCUGCGGCAAGCACUGCCGCUCCCUCGACGCGCUCCGCGACCACCUCGGCUUCGGCGCCUCGCUGCCAUCCAAGCCCGCCUGCGCCACCGCCUUCGCCGCCCGCGGCUGCCCGCUCUGCCUCGCCGUCUUCCCGACCUCCGCCGCCCUCCGCGCCCACUACGCCGCAUGCAAGCUCACCGGCCGCCCCCCACCCUUCUUCGGUGCAGAGCCUGACCCGAAGCAUGUCGGAGGGUGGGGGCGUGCGAGGCGGCCGCGGAGGCGCGGUGGCGCUGGGGUGCAAGAUGGUGGGCGGCGGGAGCGACGGCACGCUGGACGUGUGCGCGCGCGUCUGCGUCGUCGACGAGCACGAGGCCGUCCUCUACGAGAGCUUCGUGAAGCCCCUCAUCCCGGUGACGCACUACCGGUACGAGACCACCGGCAUCCGCCCCGAGCACCUCCGCGACGCGCCCACGGUGAAGCAGACCAUGGCGCGGGUGCAGGACAUCCUCCUCAACGGCGACCGGUCCUACUCCUACUCCUCCUCCUCCCGCGGCGCCGCCCGGCUCCUCGUCGGCCACGGGCUGGAGCACGACCUCGACGCGCUCGGCAUGGACUGCCCGGCGCACUUCAAGCGGGACACGGCCACGUACCCGCCGCUGAUGAAGACCAGCGCCAGGAUCAUGAGCAACUCGCUGCGGUAUCUCACACGGAGCUGCCUGGGGUAUGACAUACAGACCGGCGGCCACCAUCACCCCUACGACGACUGCGUGGCCGCCAUGAGGCUCUACAAGAGGAUGCGCGCCAUGAGGCACCUGCACCUGCACGGCCGGCCCAAGGACGGUCACGAUGAUGAGUCCACGGCCAAGGCCUUCCCGGCGUGGAGGCAGCGAGAGCUGGAGCGCAUGUCGCCGGAGGAGCUCCUCGGGAUGUCCAAGCCCGACUACCAGUGUUGGUGCCUCGACGAUGACCGGCAAUAAUACUGUCGAGAGCCGGAAUUCGAAUCUUGGUUGGCGGUUUAAUUUACUUGGUCGUGACGAUGGAAAGAUACGAGAAAAUAAAAUCCACGUACCUCGGAUGGAUAGCUGCCGUACCUAGCGACGACGUGGUGGUCGAAUAAAUCACAGUUUUGUUUCGUUGGAACUAAGAACCACGUCGUUUUUCAUUG